rnacentral:lncRNA from 1 species
AGUGAUUAAUGUCGUAGUUUUCAAAGAUUUUUAUUUUCUCAUAAUGCGUACUUUUUUUACAAGGUCUUUUUGGUAUGAACUGUCAAGAAUCAUGGUCUCACUUUUUUUUUUGGUUCACAAGCUCAGAUAUUUUAACUGUAAAUUUCUGUCCUUAUACUCUCUUGUUGCCGUCCUCCACCGUCCAAUACCAACUUUGAUGCCAACUCUAUCAUCUUGACAGUGUAGUUAACGACUCUACUGUGUGAAUGUGUCCUCUCGCAACAUUGUAUUCCUCUAUAUACUCUUAGCGUGUUCAGAUGUUACAUAAUUGAUUUCAUCAAGUUCCUUUACCUAGAGUUUAACAACAAUAAAAAUUACUUUACGCAAAACGUCUAAAUCAAAAUAUACGGAAGUGGAGUUAAAGACAAACCUAAUCAUGUUUGUUGUAUAAUAUCAUAGUUGCGUGAUUUGGGGGAAGUCUCUCACACAGUAUUUCAACAUUCUAAAAAGAAAAAUAAUGGAAAACAAAAGGAAGUGAUCACUUCCACUUCCUCUCCUCCUUCUGGUUUCUCCGCCUUCUCUCCUCCUCUUUCCAGUCUGAGUUUUUCCGAUGACCGGCGCGUGGCGGUUCCGUUAACGCCAACGCCGGUCCCAAUCUGCUUGGUUUUCUUUCUAGUUUAACAUAUGUUCGGCGUGUGGUGACUGGAGCCUAUUUUGAUGGAGAUCUUGGUUGGAAAGCUUAGCUUUCAUUCUCAGAUCUGUAUAAGGUUUUUGGAGGUGAAAGUACCGGAUCGUUAGAUCAACGGUUUGUUUCUCCUUUUCUUUCUCUAUCUUGUUACUGGUGGGGUUCUGGGUGGGCUUGUUCUCUCUUUUGGAAACUGCUGUGGAUUCUCUCCGGUUCUUUAGUGAGCCUUUCAUGUGGGAUUGGUGUCUCUGAGUUCGGUUAGGCUUGGUUCCUUGUUUCUCUGUCAGAUCUAGGUGUGAUCUGGUUUCUUCAUAAGCUCCAUUACUAGGCAUUCAACGGCCGUGCUUGCCCUGCCGUUUCCGAGAGUGUGUGGUGAAUCUGCUGAUUCCAACUUGUCAGAAGGUGGAGUUUGGUUAUUUGGUUCCUGAGGUAUUCCCUCGUUGUUCAAGGAGGAAGUGGCUUAUUGGUGGUUUGGCCGUGGGCAAUCUCUAUAAGUAUCUUUCAUGGAGUUCUGAAUCUGUUGUUUCAUGUCCGUUUGGAGCCCUCACCAGUGACGUUUGGUUUCAGUCGCGUUUAUCUUUUAUUGCUGUUAUGUGUAUGUGUUUAUUGGCAUCCCUUGUAUGGGCUUAGUUUCCAGGGUCAGUUCUGUGUGACCGCUGGCUUGUGUACCGAACGUAAUCCUCUUCGGUUUAAGAAUGCUAUCUUGUAAUCCUUUAUGUUUCUUCUUAAUAAAAUCAGGCGACAAAAAAAAAAAAAAAAGUGAUCACUUCCACAGUAUCUAUGAGAGGUGAAAACCAUUUCUUUGUUGAGAGAUUGCAAAUAUAUUAUAAGAAACUCUCUUCCACCAUUUGCGAUGUAAUAGUAAGUGUUAAUUUAUAUUUUUAUUUAAGUUUAUUUAUUUUGCAAACUGAUAUUGUUUACUCUAUACUGAGAAACUAUGGGAAAAGACGGAGGAAAGAACAUAAAUCCACACAAAAAUUGGAGAAAUCUUCUCUCUCUCUCCUCAAAACUUUCAACUUCUCUCUAACACUUUGACUGCGUUUUCUGGCUCCGGCGGCCGUCUUUGACGUGCGUGGCCGUCGGGAGCUCUCUCUCCUCCUCUUCCUCUUUGAUUUUUUGCUUCGUUUUGGUUCCGUUGCCUUUGGGUCCGCGGUCUGGUAUAACAGUCUCCGGGGUUGAGCAUCUAGGUUUCCGUUACAUGAAUAAAGCUCGACCUUGCCUUGCGGUGCUCUUGGCCUCGGGUUUUUGCAGCCUGAUCGUGCUGUCUUAGCUUUGAAGGCUUCCCGCGAGCUGUUCUUGGCUUAACCUGAUCAUAAAGAGCGGAUCAUCGGGGAAGCCAAUAUUACCAGGUUAUGUUUCUCGGUUUAACUGAGGUUGCUCUUUUUGCGGCAAGCGGGAAGUUCCAUCUCUGUCUAGGCUGGUGGUUAGCUGCUCGGCUUGUUGUGUCAGUCCCAAUAUAGGUUAGGAAGAGCCUCUUUUUGGGGCAUCUCCAAUGAGACUCUAUUUUUUCCUCUAUAAUUUACACUAAAAUAGAGUAACUCUAUAAUAUAGUUUGAGUUUGCUCCAAUGGUACUCUAUUUUAGAGUAGAAAAUAGAGUGAUGAACACAAAAAAACUAAAAUACUCUAUAUUUGGAGUAAGCCUAUUUUUCACUCAAUUAUAGAGUAAGAAAUAGAGUACCAUUGGAACAUUUUUUACUCUAAACUCUAUUUUAGAGUGAAAAAUAGAGUGGGGUUGGAAAUGCUCUAAUGAUGUUACCCUAUAAUAGAGUUAAUCUAUAGAGUUAAUCUAUUAUAGAGUGAUCAAAAUGUCACUUUUCCACUCUAUAUAUAGAGUAAAAUAUGACAUUGCUCUAUAUUUUACUCUAUAAUAAGGUAACACUAUUCGAGCAAAAGUUACACUAUAAUAAAGUUACUCUAUUUUAGUGUAAAUUAUAGAAGAAAUUUCAAUAAUUUGUUUUGAGUAGGAAAAUAACUGGACCGAAUUAUUUUAUUUAAAGUAAUUUGGGUUCCAUUUAAUUUGAUUUUAGUUUCAGUUUAAAUCUUGAUUAACUUAUUUUGACCAAUUAUAGUGCUAUAUAUUUCAUAUAUAUUUGUUGUUGUAUAUCACUAUGCAUUUGUUAUGUAUUGUUGUAGAACCUACAUGGUAUGUAUCAAACAUGGGAGACGAUACUACACGUAGGUGUCAAACAUUUUUCUAUUAACAUUGCUUCGUGUUCAAUACAUACGGAUUUGUGUUAACUUAGAAAAGUAACGGAUCAAAACUAUUCGAAACCAAAAAACGUUAUGAUCAAUAAGCAAUUAUAAUAAGUUUAGGGGAGGAAUUAGAACCCCUAGCUUGCGACUUUGAGAAACAUGACGUGUUAGUAUGACCUUGAUCGACCUUUUCCAUGCCAACUAGUUUAACCUUAGCACAUGCCCUAAAUAUAAAAGGAGCACGUAGGUCUCAUCACAACUUCCCAUAUAACAAUAUCAAGAAGCGACAAAUGAUGGAUGAUGAUCUACAUCAUAUUUCUUUCGUCUUUACUAUAGCAUAGUUAUUUCAAAUCUCUUCAGUCCAUGUGCACCCUUCCCGCUAAAUUUAUGUCAUUUUUCUGGUUAAAUACAAAAUAUCAGGUUAGUUAAUAUGAACCUCCAUAGAUUUACUCCAUGGAAUAGAAGAUUUCCAUGCAAAAAAAUUGUCAUGGAGGUUCAGAUUUAUGUCAUUUCUUACAUUUAGCAAUGCGAUUUUAUCAUCAGAUUCUAAGUUCUCUAUUGAAUUAUAUGAGAAUUAAUUUAGUAAUAAAAUCUUUGUAAUAUCUAACAAAAAUAAAUGUUAUUUAGGCGUAAGCAGGAACAACAAGAGAGUGAUAUAUCAAUAUAUUCUUUUUGAAAAUUUCUCAUAUGAUAAUAGAGGGAAUUUAAUAAUAGACGGCAAUAUCUUAUUAGAUCAAACGUGAAAUAAACAUUUCAAUGGGACUACAACAUGUAGUUAUCCUUUUUCUCAAACGUACAAAAAAUGUAGUAACUUCAGAAACCAUAUUGUGCAUCUGUGUGCACUAAAAUUUUAUUGGAAACACAAAGGAAAUAACAAUAUAGAUUCAGAGCAGGUUCACUUAUUUUGUUCAGAUCCUUAAAUGGCUCAACGAAUUGUUCCCAUCACGUUUUCUAGCCACAUAGUGGUUGGAGGCUUCCGGAGUGGUUUCCCUGUACUUGGGAGGGUUUUCUUCAGACAAAAGCUCUUUAAUGGGUCCAUAUACUCUCGGACUUGUUGAAGGAGGAUGCACAAAGAAAGAUGCAACCGAAGUGCGUGGCUCUUUACCUCCAUUUGCCAAAACUCUAUGCUCCACACUCACAAACUUGUCAUUCGUUAUAAGCUGCAAAAAAAAAAAAACACUAUGAAGACCUUGUUUUCUUACUAAUUAUGGACCGUUUGAUUAUAAGUGUAAACAACAACUUGCCUGUAGUAGAUCACCAACGUUAAGGAUAAGAGCAUUAGGAUUAGGAGGAACAUCGAUCCAGUAUCCAUCAUGGAGAACUUGAAGUCCUCCAAUAUGGUCUUGAAGAAGUAUAGUGAUGAAAGAUCUGUCUGUAUGCUGAGUGGCGCCCAGCGUUAGGUCUGGCUCAGGACACGGCGGGUAACAAUGACAGAGCAUCAACAAACCUUUUGCACAAUCCAUUUUUUUGAGGUGGUUAGGCUUCAGCCCUAAGGAUUCUGAUAUGAGCUCAAAUAUUAACUCCCCAAACAUCAUCACUCUCUUUGAGUAGUCCAACAUGAUCUCCCUAAAACACUCAAACAUAAAAUAAACUCUCAAAACCCAUCAAACAAAAACACUAAUGAAGUUAGUAUUAAUUAAAAUCAAGAGAAGCCGUGUUCGUACCUACAAAUGUCUGGUAAGUCAUCGGUUUUUGGAACAUCAGGGAACAUAAAACAACUUAAGGUAUCUCUCCAGCUCGCAGCAGGAGAGUCAUAGAGAUCAGAGUUAGAGUUAUACUUAAUCGCUUUGGUUUUUUCACGGCUAUAGAACCUUUUCCUCGCUUCUGGAUCUUGCGCGUGAAACGCACGGAUCCCUUCUUUUAUCUUCUCCAUGACCUCGAGAGGAAUCCCAUGGUUAAUCGCCUGGAAAAAACCGAACUUCUCCAUAGCGUCUUUAACCUUCUCAGUCACUUCCUUUCUUGUGACCGUGGACUCGAACACGCCACCUCGGAGAUCUAUCGUAGGGAUAGUCAACGUAGAAGGAGGUUUAGGGUUAGUUACCGUGGCUUGCGGGUUAUGGAAUAUGCGUGGGAUUUUUGUGAUUCCGGCGUCGACGAGACCCUUCACCCCGAUUUUCAUCUCGUCGAAUGCUUUUACCUCAUCCGCACGGUCAAAUGUUCCCGCCAUUGUGCACUUUGACUCCAACUUUUUUUUUCUGAGUGUUUUAUGAAAGGAAAUGGAGAAACUUGUGUUGUGUUUUGAUCGAGUGACCUAGCUCUGUCUCUAUAUAUAAGGAGGGAAAACUGGCGAAGACAUGAAAUAGAUGCCAAAGAGAAGGACGGGUCGUGUAAUUAAUCCAUUCAGCGGCGUGCCAAUACAUAAAAAGAUAAUAUAAAAAAUGGUUUAGAAGUCUGUCUAAUAAUAUUUUUAAACAACUUUAAAAAAAAAUAAAAAAUCCAGUCUAUUGUCUUAAAAAUCGGUUUUGGCGAUCGUCUAAUCACCAAUUUCAUAUAAAGAACCUAAUUACCAUCUAAUGAUUUUUUAAACAUUGAUAAAAACCAAGCGAAACACAAUGUGUUCUUAAUAAAUCCCCUUUUCAAUAAAAAAUCGAAAUUGACAUAUCAUCUUAAAAAGAAACAAACAAUUCGAACAUUGCUGACAAUACAGUUUUCAUGGUAAGUUUAAAUAAUUUUUAGCAUACAUUUGCCGCAUCAUCAAUCUGAAAUUUGAGAAAAUGAUGUGAAAAGAUGAAUAAACAUCCGAAAUGCAACGUUGGUUCUCAGGGCCAAUCAAAAAAAUUCGUACAAUGCAAUUUUAGAAACAUCAAUACGUAAAUUUCUUAGGACAAUGAUUCGAUAUUACUAUCAAUAUUAAAUUUCUCAAUUCUCAAAAUAGUAAGAGUCUUGAAAAAAAUCCAUAUUUUUUCAGAUUAAGAAAACAGUCAUUUAAGCUUCAGAAAAGUGAGAUUUGGAGUAAACGCUAGGACGAUUUGUAUAUCUUAUAAAUAAAUCAUACUUACCCAAGAAAAAUAUUAUGCUAAAAGAAUGGAUAUACGUAUAGCUUGAAAAUGUAUUAACCAAUUGUAUUAAGUUCCAAACGUUGUUAUCACUCAAAGCUGUAAUAGGAUAAUUUUUUUCUUAAGUCAAAUUAAUAACAAUGCACAAUCGACUAUCUAAUUACUCGAACAUGAUUUUCCGAAGUAUUGUCGUUGUUUUGCAUCAAAUUCAGCAAUUUAUCUUUUAUUUUAUUAUAUUUGGGUGGCACAAGCAUAUAGCUAUUCUUCUUUUGGAGAGCUAGGUAAAUUCUUCUGGAUGAAAUUUGUAUCUUUGUUUAUCAAAUCGUGUUUAUAUUUUCUUUCAUUUAUUAGUGUAUUAACCUUACUUAACUUAUUCUACUUGAAACUUGAAAAAUGUCCAGUUACAAAAAAAAAAGAAAAAAAACUUGAAAAAUGUUCUGAUAUUCCAAGUAUAGUAAUUUGCUGACAUAAUUUCGUAGUAGUUAACCGGAAGCCACUAAUUGGAUUAUAAAAAGGUUGACAUUAUUGUAAGAGAAAGAGUUCAUCCCUAUGGUGAACUUUUAGAUUCACCAACCAAUCAAAAAUUAGCAUACUAAAUGUAGUUUUUUUCAUAAAAAGAAACAAAAAAAAAUAUUAGUAGCUGUAAAAAAACAUUUUUAAAAAAAAUUGUUAACAUCCACACUAAAUCCUAAACCCUAAAUCCUAAACACUAAACCUAAACCCUAAACUUUUACAUAAACCUUAAACCCUUGUGUAAAACAUAAAUCCUUAGAUAAAUCUUAAAAACUAAACCCUAAAAUUUAAGGUAAACCCUAAAUCCUUGGGUAAAUUUGAAAUCAUUGGAUAAAUCUUAAUUCUUAGGCAAAUUUUAAAUCAUUGAAUAAAAUCUUUUGGGUUUAGGGUUUUACCCAAAAGUUUAGGAUUUAUCCAAGAAUUUAGAUUUACCCAAAAGCUUAAGGUUUAGUGUUUAGGGUUAUGAAUUUAGGGUUUAGUAUUUAUGAUUUACAUAAGGAUUUAUGAUUUACAUAAGAGUUUAGGAUUUACCUAAGAGUUUAGAGUUUAGAUUUAGCAUUUAUGAUUUAGGAUCUAGGGCGGACGGCAUUAACAAUUUAUAGAAAAAAUAUAUUUUUUUACAGCUACUAAUAAUUUUAUUCAUUUUUAUCUAUUUAUUUUAAGAAGUAAAUUCGAAAUAUUUUGUUUUCUUUUACGAAAAAUACUGUAUUUUAUAUGCUAAUUUUUAUUGGUUGAUGAACCUAAAAGUUCACUAUCGGGGUGAACCCAAGUUUUUUCUCUUAUUUUAAUAAGGAUUGAACGUGGACGACAGAGAAUCAAGGAGAUAUAUUGAGAUAUCGUCAGUAUUAUUCAAAAAGAAAUCAUCAAUAUUAUAUCAUACUAUUAAAAACUUAUUAUCAUAUCAUCGAGAUCGUAUCUUUUAGGCCUAUUUAGAACUAUUUUAUCAUUAUCAAUAAUAUAUCAUAUUAAUAAAAUCAUUUUUAUAUUUUGAAUGGAAACCAUAGAGCGGUGCAUCUUUGGAAUUGAUGUGAUUUAAAAGUUAUAAAUGUCAGCAAUAUUCAAGAAUGUUCCUAUAAAUAUUUCCAACUUUAAUUACAUUUGACUUGGGAAAAAUAAAAAAUGAAACUAAACCUAAAAUUUUAAUUGAAAAUCUAUUGUGUAAAAUGAAAAAUAUUUUUAUAAUAACAUUAUAUAUAUAAUAUUUUAGGUUUUUUGUCAACAUAUAAUAUUUUUGCUAUAUAUCAUAAUCAACAAUUCUAAAACUAAUGUAAAAACAACAUAUAAAAACUGACAUAUUAAAUAAUAUUAUAUAAACAUAAUAUAUUUUUUAUAAACGCUUUGUACCGGAAAAAUAUCUGAACUUGUUUUAGCAAAAAAAAAAACAUAAUAUAUUUUCAAUUAUAAAAUUUCACUGAUUUAUAUUUUGUUAACCAUGAUGCAUAAAUUGUUUAAAUAGGUAAUGCUAACAAAAUGAGAUCUGGUCCGAGAUAAAAAAGCACGUGACUUCGUAUCGGGGCUGGCUCCUUACUAUAAAAGGGCUUUGGACAAAACAAAUUAUAUAUUUAGCAAGAAGCAUUUUAAUAUAUUAAUCAAGUUGAUAUGAUAGUAGUAUAAUAAUUUUUAGAAUCAUUUUGUUUUUUUUUUGUCAUCUGUUAGAUUAAUAAACUUUUAACCGUUCGAAACAUGAUUUUUCUAGAGCCAUGCAUAAACCGACAAGGUAAACCAUAAACAUAACCUUUCGAAACCAGUGCCGGCCCUGACCUAAAGCUGGAGAAGCACCAGCUUUAGGCGCCAAACUGAAUUAUAUAUUUAUGGGCAUCACAAAAACCAAAACUUUCAUGUGUCCUAGUGGUUGUGUACCCCUUAACUGGUUUAAAGGUGCUAGGAUCGAUUCUGUAGGGGCACCAAAUUUUGUUUUUGCUUUAGGCAAUAUUAUAGACUGGGCCGGGCCUGUUCGAAACCAAAUUUAAAUAGACAAAAACAAAUGAUUUCACAUAAGCAAGACGAAAAAAUGAUCACUGAAAUCUUUUUUGGAGCACACUCAUAAUCACCAUUGAUACGAAGCUGAACGAUGACAGAAGCCAAAAUGAACGAGAAAGCAAUGACGAUUCAAUUUAUUUGAGAUGAGAUAAGAUCUCUAAAACCUGUUCCAAACUAGGAACCACGAGCCAACACCACUGAAGAACAAGCUUCAACUACAGGAAGCCACGAGAAGACGUAUCUAACACCUCGAGAAGUCGACGAAGUAGACCGUCGUUGACAAUCAAUUACUCAAAGACCGAUCGCAAUUGAACUAUAACUUCACAGUCUCUUACCAAAAGACAACAUUACUUCUCCCUACCGAAGCUUAGUACCGAGAGAUUCAACACCGAAAGCGAAAGCCGAGUAACUAGACCUUACCGGAAGAGAGCACCAUAAGCGAUUUGUCACAAAGAUGACAAGAUAUAAGGCUAAAGACCACAACCACCAAUAAACCACUAAUAAACCACCACAACCUCGAGAUCACACAAGCUCCAAAAAGAUCAAAGAUUUCUGAAUCACAAACCAUUAAUACGCCAAGCUAAGCUACACCAAGACCUGCCAAAACUUAGGGAACCUUUGACAAAGAAAAUGCUAGGAUAAGGAUAAGAAGACAAAAGCCUACAAUCACCGGAGACCUGCCUGAAGCUGCCUUACUAAAUUCGAUGGAAGAAGUAACAACCCACAUCAGAGCCGGUGUAAUCCUGCACCCGCGCACCAGAAAACAAAUUUGAUACUAGCGAGGCAUUCCAAACAAACCUAUAAGGUGAUCAAGCCACCGGCCUUCUUUUCAAGAGAACCCAAAUCGAAAGAGAGAAGCCUCAAAUCGAGAUCUGAGUGACUCCUUCGUCUUCGGUCACCAGGGCGUCAAGCAUAUCCCCGAAGGAGAGGAGAGCUGGCAGGAGGCAAAGAAACAAUGACCACCAGAGCCAUAACCGGCGCACACGCCAUCACGGCCAGAGUAAGAUGAGAACGAAGAUGUCUUCACGGGAGCAUCUUCUUUUUUUUAAAAAAAUAAGUUAAAAUUAUUAGAAUAAUUAAAAUGUAUAUCAUUCAUUAAUUAGGUUAGUUCAUCCUAACUUUGAGUUUAUCUAUGACACAAAACAUAUGAGGUGCUGUACCUUCUAUCAUUCCCCGAUGCCGACGCGUCGCUGUUCAUCCCCGCUUUUCGCUCUCUUCAUCUUUGCCGAUUCUUUUGGUCCAGUUCUUAUAGUUUCUGCUUCUAAUCUACUCUCAUCUCCAACGAAAAGCGCAUAUUUCAACCUGAACUUUACUCAUCGUGUCUAUUUUUUCCCGAAGUUUGUAGUAGUAAUGCGUAUUGCAUGAACUAAACAAAAAAUACAAAAAUACUACAUAAACUUUACAUGUCAUAGUUUUUUCAUUUUCAAACUUUAUAGUAGUGCAUAUUUCAUACUAAACUAAACAAAAAUUCAAAAAUACUAUAUGAGCUCUCAAAAUUGUGCUUAUUUAUAUUGACCAUCAAAAAUGUUUAUUAUCCGUUAAUUUUAGGGCUGGGCAAAUAAACCGAACCCAAAAACCCAAACCGAAUCCGAUCCGAUAAAAAUGAAUCCGAACCGAUCCGAACCCGACGUAAAUACCGAAUGGAUCUUGUUUUGUGGUAUUUCGGGUUAUGGGUAUUAUCCGAACCGAACCCGAAUCUAAAUGGAUAUCCGAUAGAACCCGAAACAUUCAAAACCCGAAACAUUCAAAACCUCGAAAAGAUCUUGUACCAAACAUGAUCUCAAUUCCUAAUAUGUAUCCAAAAUACACUAAGAAAUAUUGAACAUCUAAAAUACUUAUCUAUUACAUGAAGGUUGGUGGUUAUAUUACAUGAAGGUUGAUGGUUGAAGAUGGCCGUUGAAUCUUGAAGUAUUUAGAUUUAGAUUUUGUUUUCGUUAAACAAUGUUUCUCAUUUCAUGAGAACUUGGUUUUUAUUUUAUGCUUUUAUUUAUUUGGUUUUCUUUUUAUAAGUAAAUAUGUUUACUUUUCGUUUGAUUUUGAAUGAUCACGGUUGAUGUUCCUUAUUUUUGAAUCGAUUUUUACUUAAGUUUUAGUUACAAAAUAGGUACAAAUCAUGUAUUUUAAAAUUGAAGAACAAAUUUUACUCAUGUUUUGGUUAUAAAAUAGGUAAAAAUCAGGUAAUUUUAAACCGAAAAACCGAUUGGGACCCGAACCCGAAAGUAUAUUGGGUUGUACCGGUUCUUUGAAGAUUUACUAACCCCGACCCGAACCCGAUAAAACCCGAACCGGUCCGGAACCGAACUUUCAUAUAAUCCGAAUGGGGCUGAUUUUGAUAAACCCAAAAAACUGAAACCCGAUUGGAUAAAACCGAAACCCGUUUGGGACCCCGAAUGCCCAGGCCUAGUUAAUUUAUAAACAUGACAUCAAUUUGAAUAAAUUCUGUAAAAUUUAAAAUUUAAAAAUUUUACAUGAAUUUUCAAAAUCGUGCCUAUAUAUAUGAUCUUCCAAAAGUGUUAGUCAUCCGUUAAUUUUCAAAACACGUCAUUUUGAAUAAAUUCUGUAAAAUGAAAAAUUACUUUUAGAGAGAUUCGAACUCUCACACUUGUAAACAAGUAUAAAGUAAAUAUUUGAAUUAAUAAUAAAUAAUUGAAACUUAUAUAAUAAUGAAUUUUAAAGUUAAAUUUUAAAAAGUAAAUAAUUAUAUAUUUAUUUGAUAAAAAUAAAACAAUAAAAUUUGAUAAGAUUUAUUUGAUUAAGCUAAAACUUAUAAAUAAGUUAAUGUUUAAAAAAAUAAUACAAGAGAAUUAUUUUAGUCUAUCAAUUAAUAUGCUCUUACUUGUUCACAGUGCGAGAGUUCGAACCUCUCAUAAAUUAAUUUUUAAUUUUACAGGAUUAUCCAAAUUGACGUUGUUUUGAUAAAUUAACGAAUGACUUUUAUUUUUAAAAGUCAAUAUAUAUGCACGAUUUUAAGAGUUUAUCUAGUAUUUUAAAACUUUUAAUUUUACAGAAUUUAUCUAAAAUGACGUCAUUUUAAUAAAUUAACAGAUGACUAACAUCUUUGACGGUUAAUAUAUAUAUAAACAUGAUUAUAAGAGUUCACGUACUAUUUUUAAAUUUUUGUUUAAUUCAGUAUGAAAUAUAAACUACUAUAAAGUUUGAGAAUGAAAAGACACGAUGCAUAAAGCUUAUGUAAUAUUUUUAAAUUUUUAUUUAGUUCAAUAUAGAAAACAUACUAGUACAAAGUUCAGUAAAGAAUAGGCACGAGGCAUAAACAUUUUUUCCCGUUUUCAACGGUGAUGAAUCCCCGGGGACUCGACCUACUUGGUUUCAAGCGCCGCUCCAAUUCUCACUUUAUGCUUCGUUGUUGUUUCUUUGACAGUUCCUGGAAAAUCAUGUCAAAAAGAAAUUUUAUUCUUAAUAGUAUCAUCUAAAAUAAAACUAAUAUUUAUUUAUGAUAAUUACAUAUCACAAUUUGUAAUAAUUAAAUAUCAAUAUAAAUGUGUGAUAUUCUAAUUAUACACCAAAAGGUAUAAUAUGUUAGUCGUUGAAUAUACAAGGGUUGAAGAUUUAUUUUAUAUCAUCAUUAUAUUAAAUUUUGUUAUAUGUUUCUACAUGUAUUUUUGGGUGACAUAUUCUAUUUUUUAUUUUAUUAAAAACAUGACAUAUUUAAUAAAACAUGGUAAAAUUAAAAUGCACAAUUCAUGGUAGAAAAAAACAAAAUCCAACAGAAACCUAUAAAAUGAUUAAAUUUUGUAAGCAAUGCUAGGAAAUUUUCUUUUAGAUAUUAAUUGUUGUAAAAACAAAUAAAACUAAUACUUUAGGUAUAUAAGGAGUAUUUCAUGUAUUUGAUUGCCUUUUUGUUUUUCGGUUGAGUUUUGGUGAGAUUAUAGUUUAGUUCGGAGUAUUUGAAUAUAGAAAUACAUGAACUGUUUUAAGAUUAUUUAGAUACAAGUUUAGUUGUUUUAGUUCUGGGAAAACGUCCAUGCCUAGUCAUAUAUCUCAACCGAAGAUACUGAUCAUUUUAAGUCUAGAUUAUUGGAUACACGACAAUAUUAAUAUAUGACCAAAUGUGAAAAAUAGACAUAGUAUUCCACAUGUAUCUUGUGAAUUCAUUCUACACAAUAAAUCUUAGUGAACCUCUAUAUUAUGGUCCAUCUUUUACUAUUCAGAUCCUUAAGUCCGCAAAUUAAGGAGAGAUGUGAUCGAAAUGUGCGGUUCUUCGCCUCUGUUCGCCGAAACCCGAUGCUCCACACUAGCAAACUUAUAGUUGCUUAUAAGCUGCAAAAAAACUAUCAUGCAAGCAUAUAUUGGGAUUUUUCAGAAAUUAUGUUUAGAAAAACAAUCAAGAAUAUAUUUGAGAUCUCCGAGGUUAACGGUAAGAUCUUUCGAUUAGGAGGAACAUCGAUCCAGCAUCCAUCAUGGAGAACUUGAAGACAUCCAAUGUAGUCUUGAAGAAUUGACUAGUGAUAAAAGAUAUAUAUGUGUGUGAACUUAUGCCAAAUGUUAGGUCAGGCUCAUGACAAGUCGGGAAGUAAUAAGAGAGCAAUGAUAAGCUUUGCGGUGUCGAGUUCUUUGAGGUGGCUAGGUUCUAAACCAAGAACUUGUGAUAAAAUUUCAAAGAUUAUCAUUUUUUGUACCCCAACAUGAUCUCUCUGAAAUAUUAACCACCACUACACUUCAUCAUUAGUAAUUUAUAUAUAGCAGAUCACCAAAAAAAAAUAUUUAUAUAUAGCAAAUAAGUCCUGAAAUAGAUCAAAUAUCUUGUGUAGUCUUAAUUAAUUCUGAACUUGAAAUGAACUAUCAAAAAGAGAAAUUAUAUUUCCACAUUAUUCAAAGUAGUUUGGAACGAGAUUUUUUUUUUGGAUUAACCAGGAGAUAUCUCAAAUCUACAGAAUAGCUCAUACUAAUCGUCUAAUAAGAGGUAUAGUUCAAAGAUAGGCCUUCUCUUCUGAUGCAAAUAAAAUUCAAAUCAUGGCCACAUAUCCGUAUGAUCACACAUGUUUAGUGUCGUAUGGUUGUUUCGAACCUGAGUCGCUUAACUCAUAGGAAUUUGCCUACUAUUAGACCACCCAUGUGUGGUUAACAACAACUUUUGUGUCUUUGGUAUAAUCUAUUAGCAAAUUCUUUUUGUAAAUAUUCAUAAAUAAAAUGUAAAUUAUAUUCCAAUAUAUUUAGGAUCCAACUGGUGAUCUUUUCGGUAACACGAGGAACGUAUAGGAAUAAAAUUGUAGGAAUAAAAAUGAAUGCUUGUUCCUUAUCAAAUUUAACAAGGAAUGCUUUUGUUCUAUAUUUCUCUACAAAAAAGGAAUGGAGAGGAACAAAAAGGAAAAAUUAUUCCUUGUGAAUGAUGGUUUUUUUGGAGAAUGAUAAGGAAUUCAGUGUUCAUUUUUCGUUCCUUGGUCACCAUUCAAAGCCUUACUUUAUUUUGUUGUUUAGGUUUUAUUUGUAAUUUUUAUUAAAGGUGAUUUAAAUUUGGUACAACAGUAGAAUGUCACUUUCUUAAAAUAUGAUAUUUUAUUUUGAUUUAAGAAAACUUCCUAAAAUAGAAAAAUUGGGGUUUUAGUUUAGAUUAUAAAUACAUAUAUAAAAUUUUUAUAAAUUAUUCAUUCAUAUCACUAAUAAAAAUCUGUACAUUGGUAUUUUAUCUCAAUGGAUUUUUUCUAUAGUUUUUAGUUUUAUUCAAGUUUUAUUUGUGGCCACUCACAAACAGUAAUCAAAUUUUCUUUUUGUUUUUAGAAACUUGGGUUAAAUUAAAAUAUUAUUUCCUCAAGACAUUAUUUGAGAAGUGAUUUUUCAUUUGUCAUCAUCACAAAAAUUUUGAAAGAAAAAUGAUGUCAUAUCAUACCAAAAAUGAUGACAUAACUUGAAGCUAAUUAUGACAUUAACAUUUACAUUAAAUGUGAUUUAUAUUUUUGGUAAGUUUUUUUAAAUAUGGUAGUAACUCAUAAAUCAUCAUUAAUAUAAUAAUAAAUAAUAUAAUAGUAGAAAUAGAAAUAUAAUAAUAUUUUACAAUUUUUGAAAUAUUCUUUAUUCUAUUUUUAUAAUUUUUGUUACUAAAACAAUUUUUUCAAAACUUUAUGCAGUUUUUUUAAAAAAAAAUGUAAUUUUCUAAUCCCAUUACCAUUAGUUUCUUUUUAAUAUUUAAAAUUUUGAGAAAUAUUAUUUAGUUUACGUUCGAUAAUUAUAUAACUACAAAAAAUUCUCUUAAUUUUGUAGAAUUUGAUCUCUUAUAUUUUAACUAAAAGAAAUAGAUAAAAAUCUUUCUAAUAUUAUAAUUUUAAAUAUAUACAUAUCUACUAUUAAAUUUAAAUUACAAAAGUCUUUAUUUUAUUUUAAUUUUACAUAUAAUUAUAUUACAAUUUAAAAUUAAACAUUGUAAGGAGAUAAUAAAGUCAAAAAUUAACAAAAGUUUAUUUUAAAUAUGAUUUAAAUUUUAAAACUUUAUUUCUGCACAUGUGCAAGAAAACACAUAGUAACUUUAUAAAAGAAUAGUUUAUUUAAUUUAAAAUCUUACAAAAAAGAUGUUAGGUCCAAUAUAAUAUUUCUAAAAUGAUUAAAUUGUUAGAUAUCUUUUAUAUACUACUUAUGUCAUAUCACCUCUUCUGAUGUGAGAUUCUUAACACAAGUGUUACCUAUCUGAGCUCUGAAUACUAUAAAUACUCUCAUAUAGUAGGCAAAAUUAAUCAGCACAAAAUCUUGUUCUCUUUUUCUAUGAGCUUUUUUAAACUUGUUGAAACAAACAUAAAUUAAAGUUUCAUUAGUUUUGAUGGGUAGUGCUAAAUCAGCCAUGCGGAUCUUCUUACUAGCAAUGCUCAUCGCAUCUUGUGCCACGGCCAUGGACAUGUCCGUCGUUUCAUACGACUAUAACCACCAUGUUGUUGGCAGUUCUGGCCACCGUGUGGCCACUGUGCCCCGCCNNNNNNNNNNNNNNNNNNNNNNNNNNNNNNNNNNNNNNNNNNNNNNNNNNNNNNNNNNNNNNNNNNNNNNNNNNNNNNNNNNNNNNNNNNNNNNNNNNNNNNNNNNNNNNNNNNNNNNNNNNNNNNNNNNNNNNNNNNNNNNNNNNNNNNNNNNNNNNNNNNNNNNNNNNNNNNNNNNNNNNNNNNNNNNNNNNNNNNNNNNNNNNNNNNNNNNNNNNNNNNNNNNNNNNNNNNNNNNNNNNNNNNNNNNNNNNNNNNNNNNNNNNNNNNNNNNNNNNNNNNNNNNNNNNNNNNNNNNNNNNNNNNNNNNNNNNNNNNNNNNNNNNNNNNNNNNNNNNNNNNNNNNNNNNNNNNNNNNNNNNNNNNNNNNNNNNNNNNNNNNNNNNNNNNNNNNNNNNNNNNNNNNNNNNNNNNNNNNNNNNNNNNNNNNNNNNNNNNNNNNNNNNNNNNNNNNNNNNNNNNNNNNNNNNNNNNNNNNNNNNNNNNNNNNNNNNNNNNNNNNNNNNNNNNNNNNNNNNNNNNNNNNNNNNNNNNNNNNNNNNNNNNNNNNNNNNNNNNNNNNNNNNNNNNNNNNNNNNNNNNNNNNNNNNNNNNNNNNNNNNNNNNNNNNNNNNNNNNNNNNNNNNNNNNNNNNNNNNNNNNNNNNNNNNNNNNNNNNNNNNNNNNNNNNNNNNNNNNNNNNNNNNNNNNNNNNNNNNNNNNNNNNNNNNNNNNNNNNNNNNNNNNNNNNNNNNNNNNNNNNNNNNNNNNNNNNNNNNNNNNNNNNNNNNNNNNNNNNNNNNNNNNNNNNNNNNNNNNNNNNNNNNNNNNNNNNNNNNNNNNNNNNNNNNNNNNNNNNNNNNNNNNNNNNNNNNNNNNNNNNNNNNNNNNNNNNNNNNNNNNNNNNNNNNNNNNNNNNNNNUGAUCCAUCCAAAUGAUCCAUCCAGAUUUUAGGAGCUGUUCGUUUCUCUAUCCAGAUGAGCCAUCUAAAUGAGUCAUCUACAUGAAUUUUAUGUUUAUUUCUUUAUUUCUAUUUCCAUCCAGAUAUGUUUAAUAAACAAAUUACAAACAUACCCAUGUUUUGAAUUAAUCAUAUGCUUAAUAUUAAAUUUAGCUAUACUAAUUUUUAUUAUUUAGUAUAAAAUAUAUUUCUACUGAAAUUAUUUUAAAAUUAACAUUUCACAUUUAUAAAUUUUUAUUUCAUAUAAAUUUAUUUAUUUAUUUUUAUUUUUUAAAAAAUAUAUUUAUUUUAUUUAAAUAACUUUUUAUUUUUAAUUUAAUUUUCAUUAGAAUUUAAUACAACUAUAACUUUUAAUCAAACUCAAAAUAGAAACUCAAAUUUGAAUAAACUUCCAAACAACUCAAAGUAGAAAUUUAAAGUGGAAACUCAAAUUUUAUAAAACUAAAAUUUAAAAUAUGAAAGCAAUGGUAAGAGCAUUAUGUACUCAAAUUUUGCAGUUUUAGCGGAAAAAUAUGCCUUGCGGUUUUGGUGGAAAAACACAUUUUUAAAGUUUUGGUGGGAAAACGUGUUUUUAAGAUUUUGGCGGGAAAACACCUUUUACGAUUUUGGCACUAAAAUGCAUUUUUGGGUUUUUGCCAAGAAACCACGUUUUUACGGAUUUGGCGGGAAACACAUUUUUGCGGGUUUCGCGGGAAAACGCGUUUUAGCAGUUUUGGCGGGAAACACACAUUUUUGCGGUUUUAGCAGGAAAAUGCAUUUUUGCGGUUUUGGUGAGAAACUCAUUUUUGCGGUUUUGGCAGGAAAAUUUGUUUUUGCGGCUUUGGUUAGAAACCACGUUUUUAUGAUUUUGACGGGAAAACGCGAUUUUAUAGUUUUGGCGGGAAAACGCAUUUUGUGGGUUUGGCGGAAAAAAUGGUUUUGCAGGUUUGGUGGGAAAACAUGUUUUUGCGGGUUUGGCGGAAAAUGCGUUUUUGGAGUUUUUACGGGAAAACGUGUUUUGAUGUGAAAGUACGUUUUUGUAGUUUUGACGAGAACAUCUAUUUUGGCGGGAAAGUAUAUUUUUUACGAGAAAAUUGCGAUUUUGGUGAAAAAUUAUGUUUGUGGUUUUGGCAGAAAAAUGUGUUUUGUAGUUUUGGAGGGAAAAUAUAUUUUUUGUGGUUUUGUCGUUUUUCAUGAGUGAUAAAAUGAUAUUAUGUUUGAGUCUGUAAUUUGUUAAUUACACUGAGGUAUAAUAGACAUUAUCCCAUUUUGAUAAACUCAUAUCCAUCUAGAUGAUCUCAUUUGGAUCAGCCAGCUGAUUUUUGAAAUUAAGCCUAAAUUUUUAAAACUCAUUCAGAUGAGCCAUCGAGAUGACUUGUACUUUUAGUGACUAAACCUACAAAACUCUCAUCUUCACUCAGAUGGCUCAUCUGAAUGAAAAAAACGAACAGCCCCCAAUACUCAUACUUCAUCUAGGCAAUCUUAAUAAUAAUCAAUACUUCAAUUUUCACCCCGAACAGCAACACAAUCUCUCGGUGUAUCAAACAAAAAGAAGAGUGAGUAUUGCUUGCGAACAACACCAAUGUCUAAGUAUGUAAGACCAGAGCCACGUCAAAUUUGAUUCCUUACACCAGCAUAGACUGCUUAUCGUAACAAAAUUAUUUAAUACGACACUUAUCCGAUAGUGGACCUUGAUACUGUCUCCUUUGUGAGUCUGAACAUCACGUUUCUGAGACUUGAAUUGUAAAAAUGAAUAAUUCAAUACUGAGUCAUCUACCACUCACACAGAUUGAGAAAUCAAAUUCACCAUGGAAGUUGGUACCAAUUGCAUCAAAAAUUUGACGACGUGAAAGAGAUUUUUCAGCAUACCUUGACACCAAUCUGCAACUCUAUCACAUCAGCUGACUUCUUUGCAUAAAAUGAAGAUGACAAACAACGACAUAAUGCAAAGGAGAUCAGAUCGAUUGAUUGCAAAGGUAUGUUUUUUUUUUGAAAUCAGAGAAGACCAAUGAGAUUAAAUCAGAUUGCCUAUACCUGAUGUUAGAACAGCAAGCAGAACUAAAACUCCACAGAUUUCAUGGCGAACGCAGGGCUAAUCAUCUCUUCGUUCUUUCAUUGAUUAUACUGUACAUUUGCGGUAAGUUUUGAUUCAACAAACGUGAAAAAAGGGAUUUAACAAACGGGUUUAAAAUUAUCUCAUUCAAUAGAUGUUCAAUGAAGAUCUAUAUAUGAAUGCGAACGCCGAAAAUAAUUGAAAACUAAUAUGACCAUGAAAUUUAAGAAUGUAAAUGUCUAAAGCAUUAAACCGGUGAAAUAAAUUUGUUUAUGAACAAUAGACGGAGUUAAAGAAGAGACCUGAGAAUCCAGCAGAAGCAUAUCCACUCCCAUGAGCACACCACCACGGCGGAAAUUCCUGGCUUCCCAGAGACAGAACAACUGGACUUGAACAGUGGAGGAGGAGCGGCCGUCUGCAAAUCGGAGAGGAAAACUGAAACGUUUGCCAUAGCUCACAGAAUUAGUUUAAUCUUUAGUUUAGAACGAACGAGAGGAUGAUUCUCAGAGUAGGAAACCUCACCUUUUUAUAGUAGAACCUUCACCGCCUUGCAAAAUCAGAACUCUCAAUGAAUAUAGAGCGUGGGAGAUAGAUUAAUGGAGGGUUUAAAGAGGCUUAUUCGGUAACUGGUAUCCUUUCGUACUGUGAUGAAGCAGAUGAAAGAAAUAUAGCUUGUGAAUCCGUAAUCGCCAUGAGCUCUGGAGAGGCGAAGAAGAAGAACACGGGUGGAACCCUAAACGACGAUGCGACAUUUCACCUGGUGGAGAUGAUAAAUGGGCUGGGCUCGAAGAAGUUAAAACAAAGCAGGGCCAGAACAAACGAACUGCACAUAGCGCGGAUCAAAGAAGACACGUGUCACUGCAAGAAGAAUCCAUUUGAUGACGUGGCACCCUAAGUAGAAAUAAAACUCUUAUAUAUAUAUAGAUAGAUAGAUAGGUAGAUGAAUUUGUGUUUUUGUUUUUUCUAUUGUUCGUUAGUUUAACUUUAAAUAAAUAUUUUUGCUUUCUUUUUAUUUUUCACUAACUUUUUAUUUAACAUAUUUUCUAGUUUUUAAUGAAAUGCAUUUUUAUUUCAGAUAAAUUUUAUUAUUAUAUUCAUAAUUCUCUUUAUCUAUACUAUUAAAUAGGAGUGUUCAAUCCGGAUAUCGGUUCGGUUUCGGUUCGGUUUUUUUCGGUUUUCGGUAUUUCGGUUAGUAAAAUAUAACUACCAUUCUAAAUCCAUAUUUACUUCGAUUCGGUUCGGUUUAUAUACCGUCGGUUUUCGGUUUAUUCGGUUUUAUACCAAAAAACAUAAUUAUUUUGUUUGAGAUUAUAUUAUAUGAAUUUUAGAGUCAUAUUGUCAACACAGUCAUUUAUUAAAAAUAUAUUACAUGUUCAAAUAAAUGAACAAAAAAAGUAAAAAUGCUUCUACCAUCAAAUAAAAUAAUCAAAUCUAUAACUAAAAUCAAAGCUUGAAAUUUUGAAAAUAAAAAUAUGAAACAAAACAGAAACAUGAAAGAAAAGUUUUUCCACUCUUCCAUAUUUAGUGUUNNNNNNNNNNNNNNNNNNNNNNNNNNNNNNNNNNNNNNNNNNNNNNNNNNNNNNNNNNNNNNNNNNNNNNNNNNNNNNNNNNNNNNNNNNNNNNNNNNNNNNNNNNNNNNNNNNNNNNNNNNNNNNNNNNNNNNNNNNNNNNNNNNNNNNNNNNNNNNNNNNNNNNNNNNNNNNNNNNNNNNNNNNNNNNNNNNNNNNNNNNNNNNNNNNNNNNNNNNNNNNNNNNNNNNNNNNNNNNNNNNNNNNNNNNNNNNNNNNNNNNNNNNNNNNNNNNNNNNNNNNNNNNNNNNNNNNNNNNNNNNNNNNNNNNNNNNNNNNNNNNNNNNNNNNNNNNNNNNNNNNNNNNNNNNNNNNNNNNNNNNNNNNNNNNNNNNNNNNNNNNNNNNNNNNNNNNNNNNNNNNNNNNNNNNNNNNNNNNNNNNNNNNNNNNNNNNNNNNNNNNNNNNNNNNNNNNNNNNNNNNNNNNNNNNNNNNNNNNNNNNNNNNNNNNNNNNNNNNNNNNNNNNNNNNNNNNNNNNNNNNNNNNNNNNNNNNNNNNNNNNNNNNNNNNNNNNNNNNNNNNNNNNNNNNNNNNNNNNNNNNNNNNNNNNNNNNNNNNNNNNNNNNNNNNNNNNNNNNNNNNNNNNNNNNNNNNNNNNNNNNNNNNNNNNNNNNNNNNNNNNNNNNNNNNNNNNNNNNNNNNNNNNNNNNNNNNNNNNNNNNNNNNNNNNNNNNNNNNNNNNNNNNNNNNNNNNNNNNNNNNNNNNNNNNNNNNNNNNNNNNNNNNNNNNNNNNNNNNNNNNNNNNNNNNNNNNNNNNNNNNNNNNNNNNNNNNNNNNNNNNNNNNNNNNNNNNNNNNNNNNNNNNNNNNNNNNNNNNNNNNNNNNNNNNNNNNNNNNNNNNNNNNNNNNNNNNNNNNNNNNNNNNNNNNNNNNNNNNNNNNNNNNNNNNNNNNNNNNNNNNNNNNNNNNNNNNNNNNNNNNNNNNNNNNNNNNNNNNNNNNNNNNNNNNNNNNNNNNNNNNNNNNNNNNNNNNNNNNNNNNNNNNNNNNNNNNNNNNNNNNNNNNNNNNNNNNNNNNNNNNNNNNNNNNNNNNNNNNNNNNNNNNNNNNNNNNNNNNNNNNNNNNNNNNNNNNNNNNNNNNNNNNNNNNNNNNNNNNNNNNNNNNNNNNNNNNNNNNNNNNNNNNNNNNNNNNNNNNNNNNNNNNNNNNNNNNNNNNNNNNNNNNNNNNNNNNNNNNNNNNNNNNNNNNNNNNNNNNNNNNNNNNNNNNNNNNNNNNNNNNNNNNNNNNNNNNNNNNNNNNNNNNNNNNNNNNNNNNNNNNNNNNNNNNNNNNNNNNNNNNNNNNNNNNNNNNNNNNNNNNNNNNNNNNNNNNNNNNNNNNNNNNNNNNNNNNNNNNNNNNNNNNNNNNNNNNNNNNNNNNNNNNNNNNNNNNNNNNNNNNNNNNNNNNNNNNNNNNNNNNNNNNNNNNNNNNNNNNNNNNNNNNNNNNNNNNNNNNNNNNNNNNNNNNNNNNNNNNNNNNNNNNNNNNNNNNNNNNNNNNNNNNNNNNNNNNNNNNNNNNNNNNNNNNNNNNNNNNNNNNNNNNNNNNNNNNNNNNNNNNNNNNNNNNNNNNNNNNNNNNNNNNNNNNNNNNNNNNNNNNNNNNNNNNNNNNNNNNNNNNNNNNNNNNNNNNNNNNNNNNNNNNNNNNNNNNNNNNNNNNNNNNNNNNNNNNNNNNNNNNNNNNNNNNNNNNNNNNNNNNNNNNNNNNNNNNNNNNNNNNNNNNNNNNNNNNNNNNNNNNNNNNNNNNNNNNNNNNNNNNNNUGAUCCAUCCAAAUGAUCCAUCCAGAUUUUAGGAGCUGUUCGUUUCUCUAUCCAGAUGAGCCAUCUAAAUGAGUCAUCUACAUGAAUUUUAUGUUUAUUUCUUUAUUUCUAUUUCCAUCCAGAUAUGUUUAAUAAACAAAUUACAAACAUACCCAUGUUUUGAAUUAAUCAUAUGCUUAAUAUUAAAUUUAGCUAUACUAAUUUUUAUUAUUUAGUAUAAAAUAUAUUUCUACUGAAAUUAUUUUAAAAUUAACAUUUCACAUUUAUAAAUUUUUAUUUCAUAUAAAUUUAUUUAUUUAUUUUUAUUUUUUAAAAAAUAUAUUUAUUUUAUUUAAAUAACUUUUUAUUUUUAAUUUAAUUUUCAUUAGAAUUUAAUACAACUAUAACUUUUAAUCAAACUCAAAAUAGAAACUCAAAUUUGAAUAAACUUCCAAACAACUCAAAGUAGAAAUUUAAAGUGGAAACUCAAAUUUUAUAAAACUAAAAUUUAAAAUAUGAAAGCAAUGGUAAGAGCAUUAUGUACUCAAAUUUUGCAGUUUUAGCGGAAAAAUAUGCCUUGCGGUUUUGGUGGAAAAACACAUUUUUAAAGUUUUGGUGGGAAAACGUGUUUUUAAGAUUUUGGCGGGAAAACACCUUUUACGAUUUUGGCACUAAAAUGCAUUUUUGGGUUUUUGCCAAGAAACCACGUUUUUACGGAUUUGGCGGGAAACACAUUUUUGCGGGUUUCGCGGGAAAACGCGUUUUAGCAGUUUUGGCGGGAAACACACAUUUUUGCGGUUUUAGCAGGAAAAUGCAUUUUUGCGGUUUUGGUGAGAAACUCAUUUUUGCGGUUUUGGCAGGAAAAUUUGUUUUUGCGGCUUUGGUUAGAAACCACGUUUUUAUGAUUUUGACGGGAAAACGCGAUUUUAUAGUUUUGGCGGGAAAACGCAUUUUGUGGGUUUGGCGGAAAAAAUGGUUUUGCAGGUUUGGUGGGAAAACAUGUUUUUGCGGGUUUGGCGGAAAAUGCGUUUUUGGAGUUUUUACGGGAAAACGUGUUUUGAUGUGAAAGUACGUUUUUGUAGUUUUGACGAGAACAUCUAUUUUGGCGGGAAAGUAUAUUUUUUACGAGAAAAUUGCGAUUUUGGUGAAAAAUUAUGUUUGUGGUUUUGGCAGAAAAAUGUGUUUUGUAGUUUUGGAGGGAAAAUAUAUUUUUUGUGGUUUUGUCGUUUUUCAUGAGUGAUAAAAUGAUAUUAUGUUUGAGUCUGUAAUUUGUUAAUUACACUGAGGUAUAAUAGACAUUAUCCCAUUUUGAUAAACUCAUAUCCAUCUAGAUGAUCUCAUUUGGAUCAGCCAGCUGAUUUUUGAAAUUAAGCCUAAAUUUUUAAAACUCAUUCAGAUGAGCCAUCGAGAUGACUUGUACUUUUAGUGACUAAACCUACAAAACUCUCAUCUUCACUCAGAUGGCUCAUCUGAAUGAAAAAAACGAACAGCCCCCAAUACUCAUACUUCAUCUAGGCAAUCUUAAUAAUAAUCAAUACUUCAAUUUUCACCCCGAACAGCAACACAAUCUCUCGGUGUAUCAAACAAAAAGAAGAGUGAGUAUUGCUUGCGAACAACACCAAUGUCUAAGUAUGUAAGACCAGAGCCACGUCAAAUUUGAUUCCUUACACCAGCAUAGACUGCUUAUCGUAACAAAAUUAUUUAAUACGACACUUAUCCGAUAGUGGACCUUGAUACUGUCUCCUUUGUGAGUCUGAACAUCACGUUUCUGAGACUUGAAUUGUAAAAAUGAAUAAUUCAAUACUGAGUCAUCUACCACUCACACAGAUUGAGAAAUCAAAUUCACCAUGGAAGUUGGUACCAAUUGCAUCAAAAAUUUGACGACGUGAAAGAGAUUUUUCAGCAUACCUUGACACCAAUCUGCAACUCUAUCACAUCAGCUGACUUCUUUGCAUAAAAUGAAGAUGACAAACAACGACAUAAUGCAAAGGAGAUCAGAUCGAUUGAUUGCAAAGGUAUGUUUUUUUUUUGAAAUCAGAGAAGACCAAUGAGAUUAAAUCAGAUUGCCUAUACCUGAUGUUAGAACAGCAAGCAGAACUAAAACUCCACAGAUUUCAUGGCGAACGCAGGGCUAAUCAUCUCUUCGUUCUUUCAUUGAUUAUACUGUACAUUUGCGGUAAGUUUUGAUUCAACAAACGUGAAAAAAGGGAUUUAACAAACGGGUUUAAAAUUAUCUCAUUCAAUAGAUGUUCAAUGAAGAUCUAUAUAUGAAUGCGAACGCCGAAAAUAAUUGAAAACUAAUAUGACCAUGAAAUUUAAGAAUGUAAAUGUCUAAAGCAUUAAACCGGUGAAAUAAAUUUGUUUAUGAACAAUAGACGGAGUUAAAGAAGAGACCUGAGAAUCCAGCAGAAGCAUAUCCACUCCCAUGAGCACACCACCACGGCGGAAAUUCCUGGCUUCCCAGAGACAGAACAACUGGACUUGAACAGUGGAGGAGGAGCGGCCGUCUGCAAAUCGGAGAGGAAAACUGAAACGUUUGCCAUAGCUCACAGAAUUAGUUUAAUCUUUAGUUUAGAACGAACGAGAGGAUGAUUCUCAGAGUAGGAAACCUCACCUUUUUAUAGUAGAACCUUCACCGCCUUGCAAAAUCAGAACUCUCAAUGAAUAUAGAGCGUGGGAGAUAGAUUAAUGGAGGGUUUAAAGAGGCUUAUUCGGUAACUGGUAUCCUUUCGUACUGUGAUGAAGCAGAUGAAAGAAAUAUAGCUUGUGAAUCCGUAAUCGCCAUGAGCUCUGGAGAGGCGAAGAAGAAGAACACGGGUGGAACCCUAAACGACGAUGCGACAUUUCACCUGGUGGAGAUGAUAAAUGGGCUGGGCUCGAAGAAGUUAAAACAAAGCAGGGCCAGAACAAACGAACUGCACAUAGCGCGGAUCAAAGAAGACACGUGUCACUGCAAGAAGAAUCCAUUUGAUGACGUGGCACCCUAAGUAGAAAUAAAACUCUUAUAUAUAUAUAGAUAGAUAGAUAGGUAGAUGAAUUUGUGUUUUUGUUUUUUCUAUUGUUCGUUAGUUUAACUUUAAAUAAAUAUUUUUGCUUUCUUUUUAUUUUUCACUAACUUUUUAUUUAACAUAUUUUCUAGUUUUUAAUGAAAUGCAUUUUUAUUUCAGAUAAAUUUUAUUAUUAUAUUCAUAAUUCUCUUUAUCUAUACUAUUAAAUAGGAGUGUUCAAUCCGGAUAUCGGUUCGGUUUCGGUUCGGUUUUUUUCGGUUUUCGGUAUUUCGGUUAGUAAAAUAUAACUACCAUUCUAAAUCCAUAUUUACUUCGAUUCGGUUCGGUUUAUAUACCGUCGGUUUUCGGUUUAUUCGGUUUUAUACCAAAAAACAUAAUUAUUUUGUUUGAGAUUAUAUUAUAUGAAUUUUAGAGUCAUAUUGUCAACACAGUCAUUUAUUAAAAAUAUAUUACAUGUUCAAAUAAAUGAACAAAAAAAGUAAAAAUGCUUCUACCAUCAAAUAAAAUAAUCAAAUCUAUAACUAAAAUCAAAGCUUGAAAUAUUAAAAAUAAAAAUAUGAAACAAAACAGAAACAUGAAAGAAAAGUUUUUCCACUCUUCCAUAUUUAGUGUUAAUUAAAGUCAUGCUUUUUCAAUUGAAAAUUUUCCAUUAAUUAUUGUCCAUCAAAUUUAUAAUCUUCAUAUUAAUUUAGUGAAGACUAAAAUAAAUCAAAAAGAUCAAAAAAAGACUUAGAAAAUAAGAUGUCUGAAUUGCGAUGUAUUGUUAUUUAGUUAUAGUUCAAGUGUUUUACAAAUUAAGGUUUUUUAUUACUAUAAAAUUAUGGUAAUAGUUAUUAACACAAAUUUAACUUAUGUAACAAAUAGAUUUUCAUGUAUUGUUAUAAAAUAGAUACAUAUUUACAUGUUUCUACUUUUAAUCGGUUUUGUUCGGUUUAUUCGGUUUAAUCGGUUAUAUACCAAACCAUAUCCAAAUCCUACGGUUUUUAUAAAAUUAUAUCCAUUCGGUUUAUAUGGUAUAUACCAAAACCAAACCAUAUUGUCUAUUUCGGUUCGGUUCGGUUCGGUACGGUUCGGUUUUACCAUAUUGAACAGCCCUACUAUUAAAUCAGGAUCCUAUUUUUAAAAUUACCUUAGCUUGCCCUUUCUUUACUAACAUUGCAUGUUUCAUUAAAGGCAAUCAAGUAAUAUUAAUAACACAUCUAUAUUGGGUCUUUUUUUUUGGAUCGAGCUCACAUCAGAUCUCUCUUAGGCCAUUUGGACCGAUUAAGAAAUCAGAUCCAAUUCUCACAUUUUUUUUUCCUUUGGACCAUUGAGUCCAAGUUUAAAUAAUUUUUUUUCAACUAUCCUUAAUUAUUUUUUUCUUUUCUUAAUAUAAUUUAAGCAUUCAUAAAAAAAUUAAAUUUUUUUCAUUGAAAAGUAUAAAUCUUUAUUAAAAGUAUAUAAUUUUUUAUUAAAAAAUUAACCACAUAAUAAAAUUAAUUUAUCAGAGUUAUACCAACUUAAUUCAUUUAAAAACUAAUGUUUAAUUUUUUUAACAUAAAUAGUCAUUUAAAAUGAAAUACGAUAAAUAAAGAUAAAAAGUUUAAGUCUUUUAUAAAAUAAAACACAAAUAUAUGAAAAUAUGACAUUUACUAAAUAUUUGUCAAUUAAAAAAAAUAAUAAUAAACAAGCGCUUUGAAAGCGCGGAUCAAAAUCUAGUAUUAAAUUAUAGUUACUUCCAUUCCAUUUCAUUCAUCUAAAAGGUUACCAUUUAUAUUUCAAAAUGUUUUUCAACGACUACUCAUUCCAUUUUAUAACUUCUCUCAUUCCAUUUUAUAACUUCUGUCAUUCCAUUUGUUGACAUUCCAUUUUCUUCAAUUCCUUUAAUUCAGAGUAUUCUUAAAUAGUAUACGGUAAUAUCUUAUUAGAUCAAACGUGAUAAACAUUUUAUUGGAACUUCAACAUCUAGUUUAUUAUUUUUCUCAAACGUAAAAAAAACAUGUAGUAAUUUCAGAAACCAUAUUGUGCGUGUGUGUACUAAAUUAUUAUUGGAAACAACAACAGAGAUUCUGAUCAGGUUCACCCGUUUUGUUCAAAUCCUUAAAUGGCUCAACGAAUUGUUCCCAUCACGUUUUCUAGCGACAUAGUGGUUGGAAGCUUCUGAAGUGGUUUCCCUGUACUUGGGAGGGUUUUCUUCUGACAAAAGCUCUUUGAUGGGUCCAUAUACUCUCGGACUUGUUGAAGGAGGAUGCACAAAGAAAGAUGCAAUCGAAGUGCGCGGCUCUUCACCUCCAUUUGCCAAAACUCUAUGCUCCACACUCACAAACUUGUCGUUCGUUAUAAGCUGCAAAAAAAAAAAAAUGAUGACCAUAUUUUCUUCCAUAUAGACCAUUUGAUUAUAAGUGUAAACAACAACUUGCCUGUAGUAGAUCACCAACGUUAAGGAUAAGAGCAUUCGGAUUAGGAGGAACAUCGAUCCAGUAUCCAUCAUGGAGAACUUGAAGUCCUCCAAUGUGGUCUUGAAGAAGUAUAGUGAUGAAAGAUCUGUCUGUAUGCUGAGUGGCGCCCAGCGUUAGGUCUGGCUCAGGACACGGCGGGUAACAAUGACAGAGCAUCAACAAACCUUUUGCACAAUCCAUUUCUUUGAGGUGGUUAGGAUUCAGGCCUAAGGAUUCUGAUAUAAGCUCAAAGAUUAACUCCCCAAACAUCAUUACUCUCUUUGAGUAGUCCAACAUGAUCUCCCUAAAAAAUUCACAUAAAAUAAACUCUCAAAACCCAUCAAACAAAAACUAAUGAAGUUAGUAUUAAUUUAAAACAAGAGAAGCCGUGUUCGUACCUACAAAUAUCUGGUAAGUCGUCGGUUUUGGGAACAUCAGGGAACAUAAAACAACUUAAGGUAUCUCUCCAGCUCGCAGCAGGAGAGUCAUAGAGAUCAGAGUUAGAGUUAUACUUAAUCGCUUUGGUUUUUUCACGGCUAUAGAACCUUUUCCUCGCUUCUGGAUCUUGCGCGUGAAACGCACGGAUCCCUUCUUUUAUCUUCUCCAUGACCUCGAGAGGAAUCCCAUGGUUAAUCGCCUGGAAAAAACCGAACUUCUCCAUAGCGUCUUUAACCUUCUCAGUCACUUCCUUUCUUGUGACCGUGGACUCGAACACGCCACCUCGGAGAUCUAUCGUAGGGAUAGUCAACGUAGAAGGAGGUUUAGGGUUAGUUACCGUGGCUUGCGGGUUAUGGAAUAUGCGUGGGAUUUUUGUGAUUCCGGCGUCGACGAGACCCUUCACCCCGAUUUUCAUCUCGUCGAAUGCUUUUACCUCAUCCGCACGGUCAAAUGUUCCCGCCAUUGUGCACUUUGACUCCAACUUUUUUUUUCUGAGUGUUUUAUGAAACAGAGAAACUUGUGUUGUGUUUUGAGUCACGUAGCUCUGUCUCUAUAUAUAAGGAGGGAAAACUGGUGAAGGCAUGAAAUGGAGGGGAAAGAGAAGGAGAUAUAUUGAGAUACCGUCAGUAUUCUUAAUGUCAUAAAAUAUUAUCAAUUUUAUAUCAUAUUAUUAAAGUUAUUAUCAUGUCAUCGAGAUGUGUAUCUUUUAGGUUAUGAACGGAAACCAUAGUGCGGUGCAUAUUUGGAAUUGAUGUGAUUUUAAAAAUAUAAAUGUCAGCAGUAACAAGUAAAAAUGCAAUCUCAAGAAUGUUUUUUACAAAGUAAUGCAGUCACAAAAUAUUUUUGUCUGUUUAUUUCAUCCGAAUAACGCAACUUUCACACACUAUUACUUGUUAGCUAGUGUGGUACAGUGCUGUAUGUAUGUAUUUACUUAAAAUUAACUAUAAAAUAUUAUUAAAUUUAUAAAUAUUUUGAUUUUUGAUAAAAUCAUACAUGAUAAUUUUCAGUUAUGUAACUAUUCAAAACUAGUUAACUUAAAAGAUAAAAACAAUCAAGUUAUUAACUUAUUUUUAUAUUUUUCAUUUUUAACACUAAAAAAACUUAUUUUCAGAACAAUAAUCAAAUAGACAUAAUAACUGUAAUAUUUUUAUGAUAUUAACAUACUUUAAACAUGUAAUAUAUUUUAUGUCAUUUUUAUAUUUAGCAAUGAGAUUUUAACAUGGGUGAAUUUGCUAGAUAUUCAUAAGAGGAGUUAAAAUAAAAAAUAUAGCCAUCGCAACUGUAGCCUUGGUGGAUGGGACAAUUUACACACAAAUGAGACCGGUUUUUUCUUUAGAGCGCGUUUUAUGUUAAUUAACACGCGGCAAUAAACUCUGCCCAUGUGUGCUUUAUAGAUGUAUAGUCAAUCUCUUAAUUAGUUUAUUCUAUAAUCGUCUCUAAUAUAGUAAUGUGGUGAUAUAUUGUGAUGGUCGCUUAAUUUGACUGCAUGAAGAAUAUAAGCAUUUUAGGAGAUGAACUUGUUGUCUUUGAGAAAGACACAAUAAAUAUUAAUGUCAAAGCGCCAUCUAAAUCGUUACCUACUAAUGAGAGUAAAAGAAAGUGGGCAAGAAAGGAAAAUUUAAAACCUAAUGAAAUAAAGAUUUCAUACUUGUAAAUGUUGGUUAAAGUGAAGAUGAACAAAGAAAACAAUGUGUAACCGGUGAAGCAAACAAAUAUGGGAGGCAUACAGAGUUUAGUAGACCAGUUAAUGUUAAGCGACAUAGUAGAAAAUACAACAUAAAGAAUACAGUUACAACAUUUCUCGAAGCCAUUGCGGUUGAGAUGCCAACGGUGCAAGUUGUGCAAGGUUGAAGGUUGAGAACGCUUCCACUGUAUACAAACACUCCGGCAAUCCUAACUCCUCCAUCAUAGACAUGGAAAGAAAAUAUUCAAGUCAGUACAAAGGCAUAUACAAGUAAAAACGCUAGACAUUUGUUUACCACUAUAUUAUACAAAAACACUGAAGCAAGACAUGUGAUAUAAAAUAUAAUAUACCAUUAACACAUAUGGAAUAUAGUAAGACUAUCUACUAUACAACAUACUUUCAAAACAAGACGCAACCAUAUGGUGUAAAAUAUAAUACGAACAGUUUACAUAUGUUGUAAGCGAAGAAUUAACGCCAUUAAUCACAGGGAUACAUGAGGAUUUGUAUAGGGCAGUCUAUGUUUGUAGAUUGAACUAUUUCAUCUUAACCUUGUAACUAAACUAUUAUAAUCUCUAGAUUAUUCUAGUCAUAUUACUUCAUACAUCACUUUCUCCCACACCCGAUCCCAGAAACUCAUGUUGGACAACAGACGAAGACAACACAGAUAUAGACAAGGAGAGCUCCAAGGACCCAAAUAAGAAAAUCAUAACUGAGUUUGGAAAAGAAAAUAAUUCAUGUCACUUUACCUUUUUCAUUGCCCGCUGGGAACCCCUUUCAACCAGAUCUGAAAAAUUAACAGAGGUUCCUAUGUAAGUUUGUUUAAUACACGGCAGGAUGGCUUCGAGAUCAAUCAAACUGGACGUACCUUGAUUCGAUGUUUUUUGUUAGAAACUCGCGCCGCCGUGAAAUUAACCUAACUUUUCGUAGCCCACUUCUGUCGGUAUGACGCACACGUUGUCACAGAGUAAAAGUUUUGUGCUUCUCCAUCUCUGAUGCACACUUGAUCCCUCCAAAUCGUGUUCUUAGGGCGAAGCAACAGCAAAAAACUUCAGUUUCUAAGGUAAAUAUGAGUUAAGACACGUCUUUCAUUUCCACUCGCAGCAGGUAAGGGUAAUUUUGGCACUUUACAUGAUAUUAUAUAACAUAUCGUACCCUCUUAAUUGUUAUGUGCAUUGCGUUAAUUUUUUUUUUAUUAUGUACAUGAGUCCAAAUUUCCCUUUUAAUAUCAGAUUCUAAAAGCACUCGCAUCAGUGUUUUUUAGAAGAGUCUGUUGGUACAAAAAUUAAUAAAAAACUAAAGAGUAGGAGAGAGAAACAUCAAAAGGUAAAGAAUCUGUGCAAGAAAAGACUACACAAUUCUUAAGAAACUAUAGUAUCAAUGUGUCUUCUUUUAAUUUAUCUAACUUUAUUUUACACUUUAAAAAUAAUAAUAAGUCAAAUUAUUAAUAUAAUAAUAUGAGAGGCUUAGAUAAUGAUUGGUUGGGUUUUAACUUAGGAUUUUGGCUUUAUUUAUUUUUAAAGCACUAAUCAUAACUAGUUAUGAUGUAACUUUAUUUUUAAAGUUAAUGUCUUGCUAUAACGUCUAUAGCCUUUUUCUAUCUUUUUUUUUUUCUUAAAACAACUAUUACAGUGUUUUAGAAAUUGUAAUAUUUAUCUACAGCAGAAAAAAUAAAACUACAACCAUAAAAGCUACAUCAUAAAUUAUACAUCUACAAUUCUAUAUGUAUAGUUCAACCAAUCAUCUCAUUAGUUUUGAGAAAUCGACUACAAAUGAUGCUCUAAGGGCGCCCAGCAGAGACCCACUAAAAUCUCUCACACAAAACUAACUAUGAGCAAAAAAACAGUAACUAAUAGUAUAAUAGUAAACUGAGAAAUGGCACAUAGUUUGCUACAAUUCUAGCAUUUUCUUCACGAAGAGACGAUCCGUGUGCCUCUCUACUAUUUCUCUUUCCUUUUUCAUAUUCUUUUAUUAUUUAAUGUACAAAAAACAUUUUAAUCAAUUCUGAUAGUCUAAGAGAACCUCCAAUAAAGGUUUUUAAGACAAGUUUUUAAAAUUAAAAAUAAUUAAAAAUGUAAAGAAGUAAGAGAAGUGUCAAAUGAGUUCUAAACUCCUAUAUUUUUAGAACUUAUAAAAAUUCACACAUCCAUGUGCCACUUUUAUACUAGUUUAAUUUUAAAAUGGUAAAUAAAAAUAAUUACUUAAAUUAAUUGUAAUAAAAUAUUAAUGAUUUGUGUUUUUGAUAUUUAAUGGAAUUCUAAUUGUUGCGGAUGCUCUAAGAGCAUUAGCAUUAAUGGUAUCUGAUGUAGUAUCUUAGCGUAUAAUAAUGUAAGUAAGUGAGAGAUAUGGUAAAAGACGUCUCUCGAGAAGAAAUUCACCAAAAUCGAAGAGAAACUAUGUUGCUAGAUCCUAAAUCAACUUGCUUAACUUUCUUUCUUUUAAAAAUUAAUAGAACAAUAAAUGUAUAUUAUUACUGUGUUGGGAAAAUUCUACGUACCAAUGUUGUUGCUCUAAGUUUUCUAUUGAACUAGGAUAACUGGAUAAGAUCUUGCGCAAAGUGAGUUAAUUUGUAUAUAUUAUCAACAAUUUUUUUUAUAUAUUUGAUUAUUUUAUUUAAACAUAUAUGUAUAUAUUUUUGUUAUUAUUAUAUACUUUCUUUCUGAUUGACCGUGUCAAUUUUUAUUAAAAAUUGUAGAACUAAACUAUCAUUAAUAUAUCGUAGGUUGAUCAAAUUGGACAUUAAACAAAUUAUGACACAAAAACCUUAUUUUUUCCACCGAAUUCAUUCUUGAAAAAAGUGAACAGUGCUGUUUCCACAGUUGAAUUAUUUUGACAAUUAUCUUUUAUAUGGUUUUGAAAGAUUUCAGAUCAACCAUCGAACUAAUACAUGUCAUUUUAAUGUUUUUAGUCGUAUGCUUAAGAAAAACUUACAUUUUUUUAAUUUAAAGUCAUUUUAAAAAAAUCAAAAUAUAACAUAUAAGGUUACCUCAUUUUUGUAAUUUAAAGUCGUUUUUAAAAAUUUUAAAUAUAACAUAUAAUGUUUCCUCAUUUUUUUGUAAUUGAAAGUCAUUUUAAAAAAUUCAAAAUAUAACAUAUAAGCAAAUCUAUUUUUAAUAAUAUAAAAUUAAAAAAAAAUGAAAAAUGAUGCAAAAAUUGUUAUCAAAUCUGUAUUAUUCAUAGUCAUUAAUUACCAUAUAUAUUAAUCAUAUUAGAUAAUUUCGUAGCUUUUAUUUAAGGAAAAAAUACACGCUUCUUAUAUUUUGGGUUAAUAUAAAUGUUCCCUAGUAAUUAGAUUUCGACAAACAUUUUUUCCAAUUGAUUCUUAAGUUGUCACGUUAGCUAAAUUGACAUAUCAUAAUUAAGUGACAUCUAAGCAUAAUCUCUUUUUAAUUAGUACAAACUUAAGAUUACAACUUUUUAAAUGAUCAUCAAUUAAUAUAUAGAUGAUUACAUAGUAAUCAAUUUAGUAAUAAAAUCUUUGUAAUAUCUAACAAAAAUAAAUGUUAUGCAUACAUCGUAAGAAGGAACAACAAGAGAGUGAUAUAUCAAUAUUCUUUUUGAAAACUUCUCACAUGGUAAUAGAGGGGAUUAAAUAAGAGAUGGUCAUAUCUUAUUAGAUCAAACGUGAAAUAAACACUUUAUUGGAGGGACAACAUGUAGUUUAUUCUUUUUCUCAUACGUAAAAACAAAACAUGCAGUAAUUUCGGAAACCAUAUUGUGCAUGUGUGUGCACUAAUGUUUUAUUGGAAACACAAAGGAAACAACAACAGAGAUUCAGAUUAGAUUCACCCAUUUUGUUCAGAUCCUUAAAUGGCUCAACGAAUUGUUCCCAUCACGUUUUCUAGCCACAUAGUGGUUAGAGGCUUCCGGAGUGGUUUCCCUGUACUUGGGAGGGUUUUCUUCUGACAAAAGCUCUUUAAUGGGUCCAUAUACUCUAGGACUUGUUGAAGGAGGAUGCACAAAGAAAGAUGCAAUCGAAGUGCGCGGCUCUUCACCUCCAUUUGCCAAAACUCUAUGCUCCACACUCACAAACUUGUCAUUCGUUAUAAGCUGAAAAAAAGACCUUGAUUGGUGAACACCAAAUGAAUGGAAAAAAUUAACAAAAUGAAAAAAUAAUUUCAUUCGACGAACUGAAAAAUAAAAAGUAUAUAUUUUUGUUCAUUUUGUUUCUCAUCAAGAGUUGCAGAUGAAAAAUUUAAAGGAAAAGAGUGGGUUUCGCUUAUCAAUAAUUUGACCAGAAAUUUAACAUAACUGGUAUAAAUGUUAAAGAGCAAAGAAUUCACUAUAAUUUUUUUCAUUCGACAUGGUCAUCAAUUGGAACCUACGAAGACCGUGUUUUCUUACUUAUGGACCGUUUGAUUAUGCGUAGACAACAACUUGCCUGUAGUAGAUCACCAACAUUAAGGAUAAGAGCAUUCGGAUUAGGAGGAACAUCGAUCCAGUAUCCAUCAUGGAGAACUUGAAGUCCUCCAAUGUGGUCUUGAAGAAGAAUAGUGAUGAAAGAUCUGUCUGUAUGCUGAGUGGCACCGAGUGUUCGGUCUGGCUCAGGACACGGCGGGUAGCAAUGACAAAGCAUCAACAAACCUUUUGCACAAUCCAUUUCUUUGAGGUGGUUAGGAUUCAGCCCUAAGGAUUCUGAUAUGAGCUCAAAGAUUAACUCCCCAAACAUCAUCAUUCUCUUUGAGUAGUCCAACAUGAUCUCCCUGAAACAUUCAACAUAAAUAAACUCUCAAAACCCAUUAAAAAAGACACUAAUUAAUUAAGUUAGUACAUAGAUUAAUUUAAAACAAGAGAAGCCGUGUUCGUACCUACAAAUAUCUGGUAAAUCGUCGGUUUUGGGAACAUCAGGGAACAUAAAACAACUUAAGGUAUCUCUCCAGCUCGCAGCAGGAGAGUCAUAGAGAUCAGAGUUAGAGUUAUACUUAAUCGCUUUGGUUUUUUCACGGCUAUAGAACCUUUUCCUCGCUUCUGGAUCUUGCGCGUGAAACGCACGGAUCCCAUCUUUCAUCUUCUCCAUGACCUCGAGUGGAAUCCCAUGGUUUAUCGCCUGGAAGAAACCGAACUUCUCCAUGGCGUCUUUAACCUUCUCAGUCACUUCCUUUCUUUUGACCGUGGACUCGAACACGCCACCUCCCAUAUCUAUUGUUGGGAUAGUCAACGUAGAAGGAGGCUUAGGGUUAGUUACCGUGGCUUGCGGGUUAUGGAAUAUGAGUGGGAUUUUUUUUAUUCCAGCGUCGACGAGACCCUUCACGCCGAUUUUCAUCUCGUCGAAUGCUUUUACUUCAUCGGCACGGUCAAAUGUUCCCGACAUUGUAUGCUUCCUUCUUUAUUUUCUUGAGUGUUUAUUUUGUUGUGUCUUGAGUCACCUAACUCUGUCACUAUAUAUAAGGAGGAAUACGGGUGAAAGCAUGAAAUACAGGCCAAAGAGAAGGACUGCCGUGUAAUUAAUCAAUUUAAAUAGAAACUUUUAGAAGUUAAAUGGUUCAUUUUGCAAUUUCUUAAAUAUUAAUGGAGGAAUCUUAAAAUGGUGCCGUUAAGCGUGUAAACUAUUAAAUAAUAUUCUCCAGGAAACUAUUAAAUAGUAUCGUAAUUAUUAUUGAUAAUAUUAUAAACUUACGGACAAAACAAAUAAUAAAAUAAAAUAUUCAGUAGUUUUAUUUGUAUUUUAUAUAUUUUCAAUGUUUCUAAUGAGAAAUCACAUAUAUAUUUUUUUGGUAAAAUCAUCCAUAUAUAUAUGGUAAAAUUCUAAGAAUAUAUUUCAUUAUUAUAUUUGCAUUUUCUAAAUUAAAUUAUUUUAUAUACAGUUUAUACUUUUUGAUUUUAUUUUCAAAAUAUUGUAUAUACAUGAUACUAUAAUUCCCUAGAGUAUAUUUGCGAAAUGAUUUAUACACACGUCGUCACUACAAUUAUUCUUGCUGAAAAAAUAUGAUAUGGCACUUAAAAUAGAUGACAUGUUUUUAGAAAAUAGUGACAUGACAUCAUAUUAAUUGUGAGAUUUAAAAUUUCCUUAUAAAAAUUUAAAUUUUUUUGCAGGGAUUUUAAAUAUAGUAAUAAAAAUAACUCAUAUAUCAUCAAUAAUGUCAAUUUUCCUUAUAAAUAUUUAUUUAUGGUAAACUAUUAAAUAUAUUAAUAAUUCAUAUAUCACAAUUAAAAUAAUAAUAUAUAUGUAUAUAUGUAUACAAAUUAAUAAAAAUAAACUAAAUAAAGUAACACUAAUCCAAAAACAAUUUGAUAGUUAAAUAUGUAAACAUUAUUUAAAUUUAUCUGUCAUCUUCAUCUGUUCAUCUUCAUCAUUUAAUUAAAUUAACAAAAAAAAAUUUCAGUUUAACUAAAACAAACAAAGUCUCAAAUUUAUCAGAAUUUAUAUUUAUAUGUGUAUAUAUAUAUUCUUGUUCAAAAACUCGGCCGCGUAACCGAUUUUGCGGCCGGUUAAACGCUAUACGUAUGGUGAGCGCGGCGAUUAAGAUCGAUUCGGUUGGUGUUGAACAGUAACACGAGUAAUUCCGGCUUGGAGCGUAGAAUUAGAGAACGCGGGCGUCGAAUUGACAAAACCUCGUUUUGUCCAAAUCAUGAAACAUUAGAAAAAAAACUCAGAUUUUGUUAAUAUUGUAUUGGAAACACAAGAAUAGUAUGUGUUUUAUUAUGUAAGUGCUAAAUCUAAGGGAUUACGUGAUGAAAUCAUCGAAAGCUCGAGUAAAAACAAUGGCGGCCGCAUACUGAAAAAAAAAAAAAGGUCUGGGAAGAAGACGAGUACAAAUUACAACUUCAUCCCUAUUAAAAUAAAUGAGUAAUAAAAUAAUACAGUGUAAGACACGAGAGUCGAACUGUGCUCUACGUUAAGUGUACUGUGCAGAGUUACCACUUCACCUGUGAAGAAUCAUCCUGUAUUCUAGAAACUGUAUGUAUAUAAUUACAUUUGUAAAUUUUUAAUCCACCUUAAAGUGUGUCGACCUUCCCUUGCUUAGUUACAAUGAGGCAAUAACCACUUUAGUAACGUAAAUUCAUUAAAUAUGUAUGAAACCAUAAAUAUAUAGCAACUACAAUUUAAAAUGUUAACUUCUAGUUAUAAUAGGUGGUAUUAUACGUAUAAAGUACGCAAAAUUCCUCCCCGCGUACUCCCCGAUUUUUUUCCGCUUUUUCAAUAAAUCGCUAGGCCCUAGUGCGCCGCACGCGUAGCGCCUAGCGAGUUUUCGAACAAGGAUAUAUAUGUAUAUUGAAAAUUAAAUGGGAAGAUAUAUAUAUAUUUAUAUAUUUAAAAUAAAUAAUCAUUAAACACUAUAAUAUAAUUAAAACUAUUUUAUAAAAUCUAAUUUUCUUUUUAUUAAAAUUUAAAUAAAAUCAAAUUUAAAUAGUCAUACCAAAUCAAAAGAAAUAAGAUUACAAAAAUACGUUUAUGAUUUUUUAUAACAAUUGAAGUUAAAAUAUAAAUUAAUAAUGUUGAAAUAUCAAUCAAAAUUUUCUUUUGAAAUAAAAAAUUUUAUGUUAAAAUUUACUAUUUAUGCGCAGGAAAACUCUUAGUUAAGAUAUAAAAUACCAUAAUAUAAAUGAUCAUAUGUAAAUAAAAAUUGUUUUAUAUUAUAGUAUUUAUUGUAUUUUAAAAUAUGCAAAUAAACUUUUACUGAAAAAUAAUAUGUGCUUUUUAUUUGUAAAAUUUAUCUAUUUUGCAAAAAUAUAUUUCAAACAGAAUGAUACUGAUUUAAGUAAACUGUUUCCUUGUCAUAUUAUAUAUAAAUAAUAUAAUAUUAUAUUCAAAGGUUAUUACAUAAUAUUAAAACUAUUGUAACAUGAUCGAUAUAUUAUUGAUAUUUACAUUUUAACAAAAAAAGAAUUAUACAUUUUAAUAAUUUUUAUGACAUAUCAAAGAUAAAAAUUAUAUAAAUAUUUCUACAUUUUGUUGAUAUUUAUAUACAUAAAUUCUAUAUUUAAGUGAUAAACCUAAUCAAAUUUCUAAAUUAUUUAAUGUAUUUAAAAUUUCGUUACAAUAAAAUAAUUUAAUUGAGUAGUUGGCAUUCGACUCAUUAGGUAUAAUAAAAAACUUUAUAACUUAACUAUUUUAAACUAAAACCCACAAAAGUAUUAAAUUUUAUUUUAAGAAGAAACCAAAUUGUAUAAAAUUAUUAUUUCAAAAUUAAAAAAUUAGUUUUAGUAAAUUAAAAUAAUUUCAUACAAUUGAAAAAUAAAUUAAAUAAAAACAACAACUGAUAACAUAUUACUUUUAAAAUUAAUAAAUUUACAAGUAAGUGUAAUAAAAUUAUAAUUUAAAAAAUAAACAGUUAAUAUUUCUGCAUAUGGCCUAGAAAACGGUAAGUUUUCUUUGUAAAGCUAAUGGUAAAAUUAAAAAAAAAAUACUAUUGAUUUUUUUUGGUUGACGCCUUAUGUUUUCCUAAUUAAACCUCAUUUUAAAAAGAAUAUGAGUACGUGGUAUCUACUUUAUAUAAAAAUAAAAGUGGAUUGGUUUGUUUAUUUAAAUUAUUAAAUAGUAAUUGAUUAUUGGCACAUGUCAAAGUUUAUUUGUUUUUAUAGUAUUGGCAGGAAACGGAAACGAAUAUGCGAAAAUCGAAACAUCUUGUAACGUGGAAAGUGAUUUUUUAAAAAAUAUAUAUUUGUAGAUGUAUGUGAUUAAUUAACAUGUAAGCUUAACUUGUUUUUGUUUGUUUGAUAUAUUUAAGAGAGAAAAAAAACUAAGUAAUAGAAAUGUUGUUUUUGUACAUUUUGUAAACUUUUUAAUCAAAAAUACAAAAUUUUAAAAAUGUUAUCCUUUGGUAAAACAAUGUAGUAAUUUUUAUUUAAAGUCAAAUCAUUAUACGAAAAUGACAAAAUAUCAAAAAGUGAUAAUAAAGUACAAAUCAACAAAUAGUCAUUUUAUGAUAAAUAUACAAAAAUUAUAUUAAACUGGCAAUAAUUAAUAUCAAUUGAUAAAUAGUCAUUUUUCGUGUUUUCAAAUCUGAAUCACGAGUUUCUAAAAAUAGAAACAAAAACUUUCAUUGUGUUUCGAAGAUGGGAUUUUCAAGAAAAUCGAUUACAAUGGCAUAAAUUGUAAUUUUUUGUAAACCUAAGGGCUCUAAAAAAUAUUAAAAAUAUUAAUUUAUGUUUUUGUUGGCACCUUAUAUGGUACCAAAUUAAACUUCUUUUUAAAAAGAAUAUGAGUACGUGGUAUCUAUAUUAUACAAAAACAAAAGUGGGAUUGUUUUGCUUAUUUAAACUAUUAAAAAAGUAAUUGAUUAUUGGCACAUGUCAAAAUUGUUUUUUAAUUUUAUAUUGUUAAGAUUUAAACUUUAACUCCGUAAUUCAGGUUACUUUUUUUUUUGAACAACUUAAUUCAGGUUGCUAAGAGGAUAAGUAGAAGUUUAUGGGCGAAAUUGCAUUACCAAAGUGAAAAAAUUAUUAAAAAGGUCGAGUGAUGUUUAGACGUCUACUUAAUCUUCAAGUUCCUAAUCGGUUUUGCUUACCAAAAAAAAAAAGUUCCUAAUCGGUUUUUAAAUUCUUUGAGGAACAAGAUAAGGCCACUGACGACUAAAAUGAAAGACUUAAUGUAUCCAUUGCAAACUUAACUCAUCAAAUCGAAAUGGUGACUCAGUAAAAAAAAAAUCGAAAUGGUGACUAUCGAUCAAACAAGAAAUGGUAAGUAUGGAUCAAAGAAGGUAUAUGUACAAGAUUCCAUGAUGAACACCAAAAAGAGAUACUAAGACUGAAGAGUCGAUGACUUCUAUACCCAGGGUUGUGGACAAGAUUCCAUGACUUUUACACAUGGGUGCAAUAGUAAAAAUAGUCCUAUAUGGACAAGAGUCGAUGACUUCUGCAUCCAUAUCUAAAAAUAGUAAAAAUUCUACAUUAAAAAUUUUGUGAUUAAUAGUUUAACUUUUUUUUUUGUUCUAGCAAGAUACAAAUGAUCAUAUAUCGUAAAGGUAGAUACACGUUCGGGUUCAUAACAGAUAUUUCAGUAUAAAGUUAUAGAACCCAUUAGGGUAUUUCUACAUUUCGAGUCGAGUUCGGAUAUUUAAAUUUUGAAUAAAAAAUAAAUAAAGUAUUCAUUGUAUAAGUUUUUUGUAUUUAAAAUAUAUUUUAACUUAACUGGUUUCUAAUUUUUAAAAGACUUAACUAUUAAUAGGUUAGAAAGACACUAAUUUAGUUGUUUUUGAAAUUUUAGAUGCAACUUUUGUCAAUGUAAGAAACAAGAGCUUGAUAUGUAUUUUAAGUGAGUAAUAAAUGAUUUUAUCCAUAAUUAUAUGUGUAUAAUCUAAUUUUAAGCAAUAAGCAUCAUUAAUUUAAAUAUUUUGAAUAAAAUGAGAGAAGUAAACUAGAAAUAUAGGGUUAAGUAUACUUAUGUUUGGUUAUCUUCGGAUAUCCAUUCGGGUUUGGAUAUUACCCGUUCGGAUUCAGAUAUUACUCGAACUAUUGAAAUAAGUAAUUUGUUUUGUUGUUCUUAAAUUAGAUGAUUUUUAUACCGAGCUGGUGAAUAUAUACUUGACAGACAUUUUUAUUUCGAAUAUGCACUUAUAUUUAAUAACAGCUUGAUAUAUUAGAUUUUAAUACUAACCUGUUAAUAUAGUUUUCCGGUGUUUUUUUCAAAAUUUUGAGUUUUAGAUAUGUAUCUGGAGUGAAAAUAAUUUUUACAGAUGUCUAUUUUUUUUAAACUGACACUUAUGUAAUUCACCAAAUUCAUAAAAGUUAAAAAAAAAAAAAACUUAACUCAUAUCAAUGAAACAAUGACAUGAACGAAAGCAAAAUUUUAUAGAUGUAGAAAAUGAAUCACUUAUGGAGAGUCAAUAGUAAACAAAUCGAGAGUAUAAAACCUAAUCUCAUUUUUUCAUUAUACAAUUGAUGUUGCCUAUUUGGUUUUGGUGAUUUGUGUCAGCCAAAAACUUAAUUUCUUUUGUGAAUAUGAAGUCUUAAAAAUAAUUAAAAUGAGACGAAAUAUGUUAAUUAUUUAACAAUGAUGAUAUAUUUAAGAGACCAAUAUUUAUAUUUGUCAUUAUAUAAUCAAUAAAAAUUAUAGUGUUACAAAAUAUUAAAAUUAUUUAAUAAAUAAACAUUAUUAUCAAAACGUUAUCAUCUAAGUCUACUUUUAAUAUCAAAUCAUGAUCAACUAGGACAGAAUAAAGCAUUGGAUUCUAUUAAAAAAAAUAAUACUUUUGUAGUGUACAAAAUAAAACUUUUUGUCGCUGACUAGAAACAUUUUGUCCACCCACAUGGAUGCCUGUCAUACGCUGAAAAUUUUAACAUUAUUUCCCUAUAUAAGUUUAUAAACUUAUAGUAUUCAUCAAUAUGUAUAAUAUAUUUUUUAAUUAUAAACUCUUACCGAUUAAUACCAGUCAUGUUUGUUAACCAUGAUGCAUAAGUCGUUCAAAUAUGGUUAAAUGCUAACAAAAUGAGAUCUGAUUCAAGAUCAGGGGCGGAUCUAAAAAUAUAUUUUAUGUGUGGCACAAUAUAAUUUACAUAUAAUUUAUUUAAAAUAAUUUCACAGUUUAUAUUAUAUUAUUAUAUAAUUAAUAUAUGAUUACAAUUAAUAUUUUUUCUUAUUAUAUAUUCUCUCCAUUUUUAAAAGAGAAAUGCUUUAUAAAAAAGUUUAAAUAUAUAUUUUAUAUUUUGAAUAUAAUUUAUAUGAGCUAACAAUAACAAACUAUCAACUCUGAAAAUAUAGUUUUGAAUUACUGGUUUAAAAUUAUGAAAAUAGUUAAUCAUAGAAAAUAAUUUAUUAUUAUCAUUUUUAAUAGCCCAAAGGAAAAGAAAUUAGAAAUAGAGUAAAUAGAAAAUAUAAACUUUAAAAUUAUAAUAGAUUGAUAUUUACACAACAAAACUGAACAAACUAGAUAUAUAUAUAACUAGUUAAACAAAAUUGAAAGGAACAAAAAUAAUAAAAGGUAUAACAUGAGAACAAAGAAUAAAUAUGAGACUGUUGUUUAACAAAUAAAAUAACUAACUACGAGACACGUUAAGUUUGAUAUUAAAAAAAAAUAUAUAUAUGGACCAAUAUUUUACCAAAAGAAAAGAAGGGCGAAAAUUUGGUCGAACUUGAGAGCGUGUGACGAUACCAUUGAUCCAAUUUAACCAAUAAUGCUAGAUUCACGUACUCAAAUUUAUGCUACAAACAAAAAUUAUGAAGUUAGUAUGGGGCACGUGCCCCACCCUCUAUGUAAGUAGAUCCGCUUCUGUUCAAGAUGAAUAGAAGAACUAUCAUCUAAUAGAAAAGCAUGUGAAUUCUCACCGUGGCGGGCUCGUUACUAUAAGAAUCGAAUGGUAACGUUGUUUUGAAAGUAUAAUAAACAGUGCAAAAUAAACUUGCAAUAUGAUACAAUUGUGGUUCAUGUAUUAUGCGGUAUCAGUGUGAUUUGAUAAAAAUAAAAAAGUAAAACGGUUUUGAAAAAAAUAGUGUGAUUUUGAUAGAAAAUAAUGUAAAAUAAAUUAUCUAUGAAAAAAUAUUAGAAAUUAGCUAAACAUAUUUACUAAAAAUUAUUUAUUUAAAUAUAUGAUACAAAUAAAAUGUGUUUAUCAGCAAAAACUUUAAAUGUCUUACCCAUAUUUUUAAUUUUAACUUCUUAUUUCUUAGUUAAAAGUUAAUGGUGAUAUGAUUAAGUUUUGAACAUACUUAUAAAAAUAUACAAAAAAAAUUCCGAUUUUCCAAAUCCCAUAGGAUUUAGUUAUUUAUAUAUACUUAAUUUACAUAUCAAACUUUUAAAAUUUAAUGUUAGUUUUUAAUAUUAGACAUUGUAAAAUAAUAAAAUUGGAUCAUUAUAAAAAUAUUAAUUUCAAUUGAUUUUACACUUAAAGAAAAGAAUAGGGAAAACAAAAAAAUUUAUGAUCAGUUGUAGAAAACAAAGGUAUAUAGAAUUUGAGUUCGAGCAGUUAUAUAAAUUUUAUUAUUUUAAAACAUAAUUUGUAUUGGGACAAAUCUCUUAAAUAGUCUUUUUAAGUUUUUGUCACCAAAAUAAUCUUUAAAAAAGAAAAUGAUCAAAAUAGUCCUUUUUAUUUUAAAAUUUUAAUAUUAAUUUUUCAUUUUUUUUUAAAUUUGAAAUCCCACCAUCAAAAUUCCACCAUUUAACUCUAAACCCUAAGUCUAGAAGUUAAUCAUAGGGUAUAAAUGUAUAUUUAUCCUUAAAUAAAAUUUAUUUUGAUCAUGUUUUUCAUUAAGAGCUAUUUUGUGAAAAUAAACUAAAAAGUGAUAUUUUAGGAAUUUUUUCUUUUUACUGUAUGCAUUGUUUUUUUCUCUCGCCCAUUUAAAAUUCAUAUGCAUUAGACCUGUUUUGAAAAACGUGUUCGGUUUUAUUUUUUAAUUUUUUUGUAAAACACUAAUUUUUUGAUGGUGAAAAAUGCGAUUUUCGAUAUUAUUUUUUAAGUCUCCACUAUACUAGUGCACCAGUCAAUAGUCAAUACCUAAAAGGGCUUUUGGGAAUAUGAUGGGAAUCAUAUUCCAUCUAGCAUUUUAAAAAUUUAAGCCUAGACAGUUCUAAACGGGUUUAAAUUACUAGUUUACACAUGUAUAACAAAAGUUACAAGAGUCCUUAAAUCGUUUAAUCAAAUAUGGUCGAUGAAAUUGACAAAAAACGUUAGACCAAAGAAAGACAAAAACUCGAAUCAAGGUAAAAUGUUAUUAAAAGCCCAACGCCAAUAUUGGUUACAAGUGGAUAUACUAAAUGCAUUACAACAUUACAUUAUACCCAAAACUGGCCCAAGAAUACAGAGGGCUCUCGACGUGUAGCGUAACAGGUGAGAAGCUUGAAGGUCGCCGGAAACGUAAUCUCCUAUCAUAACCGACCGGAAUAAAAGAUCUUGCGAUUUCCGGAACCAGCACCAACUCCCUAAGUAUUAAAAGAUCUACCUAAUCCAAUGUCAAUAUUAAAAAAUACAUCAAUAUAUUAGAAUAGAAAAUUUAUCUAUUAUAUAUUGUUUCGUAUUAGUUUAAUAAAUUAAGUUGAUUUAUCUUCUAUAUAAACUAUGUAUUUUUUAAUAUUAUUUUCAUGAAAAUCUAAUAAUAUUAUUUUUAAACAUUUUUGUGUGAUUUAUUCUCAUCAAUUUGUCAUAGUAUCAGAACAAAAACAAAACUAAAAAAUCAAAUACUUCUAAAACUUUUAUUCUCGUGUUAUUGUAAAACAACAACGCUUCAUUCAUAACUUAUUUAUUCACGACUUAAAAAAGAAGGUUUUCAUUCAAUCAUAGUUUUGAUGUCUUUGCAAAAUUGCAAAUCAACAAACUUAUUUUCUAUUCAUUUGUUUCUCAAUUUGAAGCAAGAAAAAUUCAUUCUACAAUUCCAGCAUUCAUUCAUUAAUUUUCGUAUGGAUAUUAUUAGUUCAUGAAAGAUUCAGAUUUUUUUACGGCAGUCUACCGGUAGCCGAUUCAUCCUACCGUGAAGAUUGGACAGUAAGCAAUAAUCUCAUUGUAACAUGGAUAAAAUAAACAAUCAAACCAAAAAAUCAGAUUAUCUAUCUCAACUCGCGAAAUCGCAAAAGAGUUAUGAGACAUUCAUCAAGCUUCCGCAACAUUAACAACCAUCAUUAUUUCACAAGACUUUAAAUUAUUUUUACUACUACAUUUUGAAGAUUGUCCAAUCUCAUAUGUAUUGCCACAUACGAGCUUGAGGGAGGGAAUUUGAAAGAUCUAGAAGAUCGAACUAAUCCAAUGGUCAAUAUUAGGAUAUACCUCAAUAUAUUAAAAUAUAAAACUUAUCAUUAUCUAUUUAUAUAUUAUUUCAUAUUAGUUUGGAAAAUUAAGUUGAUUUAUUCUCUCUAUAAACUAUGCAUCUUGUAAUAUAAUUUUUAUGAGAGUCUAAUAAUAAAUAUUAUCCCUAAACACCUUUGUGUGAUUUACUCUCAUCAAUUUGUCACUAAGUUUUCAUGCGGUCUUUUUCUUAUAGAGAAAGCUCCCAUCUCUACUGAACCUGCACGAAAUCAACAAAGCAAUAUCGAGAAGAUUGAUUCCUCUAUCCAUUAAGGAUCCUUUGCAAAAGCGUAAUUAGAGACGCAAAGAUUGAUUCCAAUCUGGAUAGAGAGUCAACGGACUCAAAUUAGUGAACUAUGCAAAAAUAAUUGAUUAAUAAAUCAUAAGAAAACAAACAUGAUCAUCGUAAUUUUCUUAGAAUAUAUUUUUAAUGGCCAAUUUUUCCUUUUUUUGUCUACUUUACAAGUUUAAUGCUAAAGAAAAAUGUUUGAUUAUCAAGAUCUUUUAGAUAAAUAGCAUCAACAUGCUGUAACAUUAAUGACAUCCUAGCUAAAAUUGAAGACUACAAUUAUCCAUUUCUAUUGGUAUAUUUGGAAGGCAAAGAAUGACAAACUCUUUAAUGGACAAGUCAUAUCCCCAAUUGAACUCUCCAAGUUGCGUGCCUUGAAGCAAAAUGUUGGAAAAAGAUUAAUGAAAAGGAGGAAACUAAUGAGGAUAAUAAAGGCUCCCCUACUACAAAGGUUGAGACAGUGCCUCCUUGGAUACUUCGAAUCUCUACGGUCAAAUUAAUGCUUCAUGGAUCGAUAAUGGUAGUGUUAGUGGCCUAGAGUGGAGUCUAAAAGAUCAAAUGGGUACUGAAUCUCUCGGAUUACUGGCAUGCAACAGAAGCCUCUCAGCCUUACAUGCCGAGAUAGAAGGUUUAUUUUGAGUAGCUUCAUGCAUGAAAUACAUGAGGAUAACCUUGAUAUGUUUCGAGACGGAAUACUUGGACCUAUUGGACAUGACUACGAAUCUGAUGAACUGGCCACCAUUCGUAUCGAAAAUUGAUAUGUUCUAAAAAAAUACAUGAAGACUUUGAAGAUGUGAACAUAAUUCAUAUUCUUCAAAGUAGAAAUGGCCGGGCAGACUCAUUAGUGAAAGCAGAAAGGACCCGAUGCUAUAUUUUCUUCCAUAUAGAUCAGACAUGGACAGACAUAUGAGCUAUUCGGAGAAUCGACUCGUCUAAGUACAACUUGGUAUAGUAAAAUGGGUAGUUGACAAAAAAAUAAAAAGAGAAAAAAAUACUGAGCUUUGCAUUUUUUUUUAUAUUGUUUAGGGCUUUGCAUUUUUAUUCCUUUUGCAUCUUCUAACUCUAAAUGGCAGAAAAAGUAUAUAUUGUAGGCUUCUGAUCUCCAUCAUCUAAUUAAUCGAGUAAUCUAACAAGGUGCAAACACUUCCAGGCACAUCUUCACGUGACCCUGGAACUGCAUAUUACAAGUUGUAUAACAGGCAGUGCCGGUCCGGAGUUUUGCGGCGCCUAAAACGGUUUAAAAAAAUAUUGCCCCUCUUUUUCAAAAAAAUAAAAAUAUCUUUAAUUAUAAUUAAAUUAUAUAUUUUAACUACAUAAUCAAAAUAGAACCAAAUAUUAUUAAAAGUUAAGUUGUUUCUGAAAAAAUAAGAUACAAAAAAUCAAAACAUUAUUUGCAGUUCAUCUUGUCAUAUUUUUUUCAUUUUAUUUGCAGUUCUACUAGGCCGAUUUUUAAUUUAUUUUUAUAGCAUUUUUACAAAUUCAAAGAAACGCACGAACAAAAUUUAUAAUUUAUAGCUAGAUAGAGCACAACAUAUAAUAAAAUCACGCUAACAUCAAAUUCACCAUUUUUUCUUUUUUUUUUUGAAUUGAAUGUUAAAUUUAAUUCAAAGAAAAAACCCUAUUACAAAGUACCUUACUUUCUAUGAUUUCUAUACAAAUUGAAUAAAAAUCAAAGCAAAGAUCAAAUCAAAAAAAAAAACUCAUAAUUUGCUUCACUACUUCCACCAACUAUCUUCUCUCUACCUAGCUCUCACUCCUACUAGGUAACCAGCACUCACUCCUACUGGCUUUCCCAGCACUCACUCCUACUGGUCUCCCACCCAGCACUCACUCCUACUGGUCUCCCACCCUCAACUCAUCCUCCCUUGUAGCAAACCAAUAUUGCAACCCUGCGCCAAACUCUUUGUUACCUCUUCGCUGAAUCAAGUAGAGCUUAUUUCUCAUAUUCUUAUCAAGUAAUUUGAUCAAUAACCCAGCAGGUGCUUCAAUCUCUCCAUGUCUCCUUCUGUUUCUCUCUCUCCAGAUCAUAUACACAGCUGCUUGAAACAUAUAAUGAACAAUGAACUGGUGCAUUCUCCUCCUUUUGCUACGACGUAUAACACUCUGUAUCUCCCCCCAUUGCAAAGUAAACUUCUCUCUUAAUAUACCCUGCAUCAAAGCUUUCCAGAUCUGAGCCGAGUAACAUCAUCCAAAGAAUAGAUGCUCCACCGUUUCCAAUUGAUCAGUACAUAAGACACAAGAAGUAAGAACAUUACUAUUCCAAUGCCUCAUGCGAUCCCCAGUAGCAAGUCUUCCUUUCAUUGCCAUCCACAUAAUAAAAGAAUAUUUCGGGGUUGCAUACUGAAACCAUACCUCAUUACUCCAAUGGCACUCAAGGUGUCUUUCCCUAACAAACUCCCAUGUCUCCUUAGAAGAAAAAUUUCGCUUAUAACUCUUCCCACACAACCAUAACGACAUAUCUUCUUCUAUACCUUUGUUUCUAUUUCUGUCUAUCUCAUCUUCCACUUUAUUCAAAAUUGUGACACGAUGAUACCUCCUUCUAUGCUUCCAACUCUCCUCCACUGUGGCCUUAAUUGGAAUACCCAGAGUAAUACAACCGACUUCACCCAGAAUAUCCCGCAAACAACCCAAUGUAGACCAAUUUUCAAACCAAAAAGAAGACUUCCUCCCAUUAUUAAUCUCCACUUUAUACAACUUCUGAGCAACUCCUCGACAUUGUAACAGCUUUCUCCACAUCCAUGAUCCAGUUUGAGUAUUCUCCUUGACCAUCCACAACGAGCCCUUCCUUAUAAGAUAAACUUUUACCCAAUUCACCCAAAUUGAAUUUGCAGAGAGAAUCCUCCACACUAACUUCAAACAGCUUACCAUAUUCACCUCUUUUAAUCUCCUUAGCCCCAACCCGCCUUCUUUUUUCGGUCUACAGAUCUCCAGCCAAGAAACUUUUGCUUUCCUUCGAUUCAAAUCAGGACCAGACCAAAGAAAAGCAGAACACAAGCUCUCUAUCUCCUUAAUACAACCACUCGGCAAUCUGAACGCCGCCAUCCAAAAAUUUACUAGACUUGUGAUAACCGACUUGAUUAAUUGGAGUCUCCCAGCAUAGGAAAGAAAUCUACCUGUCCAAGAUCCGAUUCUUUUCCUUAUUUUCUCAAUCAGUGGCAUGUAAUCCAAGACUGUCAUUUUCUUCGUUAACAGGGGAAGACCUAGAUAGCGAACAGGUAACUUUCCAUUUGCAAAAGGAAAAUGGCUAAGGAUAUCUUCUUGCUGUUGACUAGAGACACCCGCUAGGAACAAUGUUGAUUUCUCCAAACUAAUCUUUAGGCCAGACAUUUUAUCAAACUCUUCAAACACUUGCAGAAUACCUUCAAUAGACUGUUGAGAUCCAUCCGCAAACACCAUCAUAUCAUCCGCAAAGCAUAGAUGAGUUAGCUCCAAUUUCUCACAUUUAGGAUGAUACCCAAACUUCCCAUUCACAACCGCUUCAUCCAACAAUCUAGAAAGAACAUUCAUACAAACCACGAACAGAUAAGGAGAUAACGAACAGCCCUGUCUUAAACCUCUUCUGCUUUGAAAAUAGCCAGCCAGCUCCCCAUUCACUUGAACUGAGAACGAAGCUGUUGUGACACAUAAGGAAAUCCAAUGAAUGAAUUUACUUGGCAGACCAAGAGCUUUCAGAGUGUUGAUGAGGAAAGACCAUUGGACAGAGUCAAACGCUUUUGAGAUGUCGAUCUGCAUUGCACACCUCUGAGAUAUGUCCUCCUUGUGGUAGUCUUUCACUAUUUCAGUUGCCAACAGAACAUUUUCCAUGAGCAACCUCUCCUUGAGAAAAGCAGAUUGAUUCCAGGAAAUGCAUUUCGGUAAUAUACUCUUCAGUCUAUUUGCUAGUAUCUUUGAAAUUAAUUUGUAAAGGACAUUGCAACACGAAAUGGGUCGAUAGUCUUUCAUACCUUUUGCUUCCUUCUUCUUCGGAAUAAGAGCAAGAAUAGUUGAAUUAAGACCCUUCGGCAAGAAUCCCAAACUGAAAAAAGACUGCACUGCCACCGUGACAUCUUCUCCAAUUAUCGACCAAGAUUCCCUGAAGAACUCUACUGUAUAUCCAUCAGGACCAGGAGCUUUACUCCCUGGCAUUUUGAACAAUACUCUACAAAUUUCUUCCUUCGUUACUUCUUUCAAUAACCCCUCACUGUCAGCCUCACUACAUUGAAAUUUUAACAACUCCCUAAGCCUGUCAACUGUCACUCCUUCAAAAUCCUGAGGUUGAGUAGUUAAGAACUCUUCAAAAUAACGCUCCGCUUCUAUUUUAAUCUCCCCCUCCGAUUUAACCAAUCUACCAUCUGCACAUUGAAUUUCAUAGAUAGUAUUCUGAACCUCCCGAAUCUUUGCUGCAUUAUGAAAAGCUUUGUUGUUACCAUCCCCCACAUCCAGCCAGUGCAGCUUUGAUUUUUGCUUCAUAUAGUCCUCCUCUAAAUCCGAUAACCUCACCCAUCUAUCAUAAGCUUGAACUUCUUCUCUUAUAUUCUCCGUUGUGGGAUCUUCUAAGUUAAUUUGUUGCUUAACACAGAGGACUUUAUAAGCGUCUCUUGUCUUCCUUGGUAAAUCUCCCAGUUUCAACUUACUAAGCUCUCGCAGAGGUUGCUUUAACAUCUUCAACCUUUUGGAUAGCAGAAACAUAGCUGAUGUUGAAUGAAACAAACCCUCAUAAUCCUUCCAGUAGUCUGUAAUAAGUGGCAUGAACUCUGGCAUCUUUGCAAUUAGAUUCGUGAACUUAAACGGCUUUCGCUUCUUCUCCACCUCCCUAUCAAACUGUAUUCUACAUCGCAAAUGAUCGGAACAACCUCCUGCUUCAUAUACACAAUACGCACUCGACUGUUUAAGCCACUCUUCGUUUAUGAGAACUCUGUCUAGCUUCUUACAGAUAAGACCAUUCUCCCUCUUAUUACACCAGGUGAAUAAAGCCCCCUGAAAACCCAUAUCAACCAAACUGCAAUAAUUAGUAACCUCUUGGAACUCUCUCAUCCCCACCGGAAUUCUCUGUAUAUCUUCAAAUCCCGAGUGCUCCUUCCCUUCAAGAAUCUCGUUAUAAUCCCCCAUUUGUAUCCAUCUCUUAUUUUUAAACAUCCCCGCAUCAUGAUGAUUUUUAAGAUCCACCCAAAGACUUCUCCUCUCUUCCACUGUAUUCUGCGCGUACACAAAGGAGCAAAAAAAUUCUUCUGACUCCCCUGGAAGCAAUAUCGAAACUGUUAUCAGUUGAUCACUUUUAUAAACUGGAGUCACUCUCACCACUGACCUCCAGAUCACCCAAAUUCUACCCAGCCUGUUAUGUUCAUAGUUCGACAGAAAAUCCCAACCUUGAAAAACACUCGACACAAUCCUACUCGCCUUAUUCUCCUUCACCCUCGUUUCAAUUAAACAUCCAAAAAGAAAAUUCUGACUUCCCACCCAACUUCUUACCACAUCCUGUUUAGCAGAUUUAUUGAACCCUCUCAUAUUCCAAAAGAAACCCGCCAUUUAAAGAUUUGUAUUUGAACCCCUCUCCAGAACUCGGUGAUUUGUUUUCGACUGCCUUGGUAGAAUUUGUCUUGCUCGACUCUUCUUACUGCCUUUGGUUCUCACCUCAAUACUUUCCUCAAUCUUCCGUUGACAUUCAUCCUCUUCCUCUUCUUCCUCAACUUCCUCCCUAUCCUCUUCCUCCUUAUUUAUUGCAUCUCCAUUUUCAUCUGAGUUGCUAAGAGCUGCAAACCUCGAAGGAGUGGUGAUAAUCACUUGAUCAUUUUUCAGAUUUUGUGACUUUGGACUUCGACCGAUCCUUUCCCCUGAAACUUCUCUCCACUCAUUAAUUUGACCUUCCUCCAAAUCUCCCUGUUCUGCGAUACUAGCAUCAGUUCCCCUAUCUUCUCCCAUCUUACUACUUUCCACCAUCUCCUCCUCACUUGUAUUUUUUGUCUCAUCCUUCUUUUCUUCCAUCUUACUACGUCGCAUCUUUCUUGUCAGCUACAACUUCUUUUCCCACUUUGCAAAAAGUUUCAUAGUGGCCCCAACGCCCACAUUUGAGACACUUUGCUGGUAACUUUGGAUAGCUGAACUGAACCGUCACCUCCUCUCCCUGAAUGUUGUACAUUAUCCUCUGAGGUAACUCCUUUGAUAAAUCCGCUUUGACAAACACCUUAACAAAUUCACCAAUUUUACUGUGUUCAUAGAGUUUUUAAAAAAUAUUAGAACCCUAUUAUAGUUUAAUGCUUUGGAAUUUCAAAAGUUUCUAACAAAUUUACAAAAAGUUACAAAAAAAAGCUAUUCCAAAAAGAUCAAUCACAAUAAAACAGUGGAUAAAUGAGCAAUUGAUCAUUCAAAAUAAAAAGGAUCCUUGAAAGAAAUAAAAAGGAAGAAACUGAGGAGAAACAAUUAGGAGUAUCAUUUAAUAUAAUAUGUUUAUUAAAGAAACUAAAGAGUGAUGAAAAAGAAAGAAAAGAAAUUAAAUGAUUGCUAGAAAAGAUAACGAAAUCCUAUGUAUAUUUGAAUGAGUAGCUCUUUUGUUAUUAUUUUCAGAAAAGGAAAAAAAAGUUAUAUUAAUAUCACAAACAAAAGAGAAGGUAAGCUCGAACCUAAUACCUCUAGAAUCAAAGGAACGGACUACAACCACUGGACUACAAUGGACUUUGUCAAUUGUGGCGCCCCUAAAAUAUUUAUUAUUUUGGUGCCUAAAGCCCUGGCUUUAUGGGCUUUAGCCCAGGGCAGGCCCUGAUAACAGGCUACAAGUCUUUUAGGAAUUAUGAUGCUCUGCACAUUUUCUUUCCUCGCAAUUAAAUUUUCAGCAUAAGGAAAGAUGAUGCAAAUCUUACAUCAAGACUUGCUAUGCCUUUUUUCUUCGUAAAUUUCCUCAACAAAGAUGGAAUCUUAUAAUGAACUUAAAUGAAAAUGGUAAAUUUACUGUAUUAGUUUCAAUAGAUGUCCAAAAUAUUUGUUGAAUAUUUUACAUUACUAUACAUUUAUGACUUCUAAAUGAGUGCGCUGAAUCCGCUGAUAACCAAACUACACGCAGUAAAUAACCAACCUACAUUUAAUAGUUGUUCUGAACUUUCACAUAUUCUUUAAAAUCUACCACUAAAUUCACUUGGUAUUCUUUAAAGCAAUUCACUUUAUAACCUAUAGAUAGGCCUGUGACUUAUUUUCCGAGAUUCCGAUUCGAUCCGAAAUCCACUCCGGAUCCGCUCUGGAAAUAGAAUAUCCGGAGUGCCUGGAUCCGAAUCCGGAUAGUAAAAUUUUGGAUCCGUCCAAACCGAAUCCGAAUCCAGAUAUCUUAAUUUUUAAGUCCAAAUAUCUUAAUUUUUAGGUCUGGAUAUCUGGAUCCGGAUAGUAUUUUUUUAAACACAUUAAAAUUUUAAAUUUCAUUAAUAUUUAUAUUUGAUAUAUUAAUAUUUAUACAUGAAUUAAUCUUAUAAUAUUAUAUUUUAGUUUUUACAAUAUUAUAGACAAAAAUAUAAAUAUAUUUAUAAAUAUUAAAUUAUGUAUUAUAUUAAAAAUAGUAUUUUUUAAAAAAAUAUUAUUUUUAAUUAUUUUUACGGAUCUGAAUCCGGAUAUCCGAGGGUAAUAGAAUAUCAGAACAAAUAUCUGAAAUCCGGAUAUCCGGAAACCACGAAUCUGGAUCUAGAUAUUAAAUUCACGGAUCCGACGGAUCCAGAUCUGGAUUCGGAUAUAUCCUUUCCGGAUAUCUGGAUCUGUCUCAGGCCUACCUAUAGAUACUAUAUAUAAUGUAAUAGUCAAAACUUAUUGUUGAGACAUUAUUAGAUAAAUAAAAACAUAUAUUUAAUAAAAAUGAUCCAAAUAAAAAUUAUACAUAAAACUUAUAUGAUUUAAUAGAUAAACUGUUUAUAACUGAAUAUUUAUUUUUUAAUAUAUCUGAUUCUGACCAUAUAUAAUCAAAAUAUUUGAAAGAUUAUUACAUUUGAGGGAACGGCGAAACCGUAAAGGAAAUAUUAGAUAUAUAUCAAUUAUAUUAUUUUUUAAUCAAAUAUAUUAAUUAUAUAUGUUUAUUGUAUUGUACGAAUCAAAUUUGAAUAUUUGACCACUGUUUGUAAAGGUGAUUAAAUGAGUGCGAUGAUGACGAAAUUGAAUAUUGCUUGUAAAGGUGAUUAAAUGAGUGCGAUGAUGACAUCUUACAUUACUAUAAAUUUAUUAUGACUUUUCUAACCAAACUAUACGCAUCCUUUUUAUAUAACCGAGAAGUCAAUUUAGUGAUUUAUGCUGACGUAUCGUUCAUAAAAGAGUUUUCUAAUUAAUUGUUAUAAUUUGAUUGGUCGAAGAUUUUUCAUUUUUUAUUUAUUUAAUUAAAUUUUUAAAAAGAAACUAUUCAUAAAAUUACCUAAUCUAAUAUAUAUUUCCAAGCAUACAAUUAAACAUUUUAAAUAUAGAUCAAUUAACAUAAUUUGGUCACUUGAUCAUUUUUCAGAUUUUGUGACUUUGGACUUCGACCGAUCCUUUCCCCUGAAACUUCUCUCCACUCAUUAAUUUGACCUUCCUCCAAAUCUCCCUGUUCUGCGAUACUAGCAUCAGUUCCCCUAUCUUCUCCCAUCUUACUACUUUCCACCAUCUCCUCCUCACUUGUAUUUUUUGUCUCAUCCUUCUUUUCUUCCAUCUUACUACGUCGCAUCUUUCUUGUCAGCUACAACUUCUUUUCCCACUUUGCAAAAAGUUUCAUAGUGGCCCCAACGCCCACAUUUGAGACACUUUGCUGGUAACUUUGGAUAGCUGAACUGAACCGUCACCUCCUCUCCCUGAAUGUUGUACAUUAUCCUCUGAGGUAACUCCUUUGAUAAAUCCGCUUUGACAAACACCUUAACAAAUUCACCAAUUUUACUGUGUUCAUAGAGUUUUUAAAAAAUAUUAGAACCCUAUUAUAGUUUAAUGCUUUGGAAUUUCAAAAGUUUCUAACAAAUUUACAAAAAGUUACAAAAAAAAGCUAUUCCAAAAAGAUCAAUCACAAUAAAACAGUGGAUAAAUGAGCAAUUGAUCAUUCAAAAUAAAAAGGAUCCUUGAAAGAAAUAAAAAGGAAGAAACUGAGGAGAAACAAUUAGGAGUAUCAUUUAAUAUAAUAUGUUUAUUAAAGAAACUAAAGAGUGAUGAAAAAGAAAGAAAAGAAAUUAAAUGAUUGCUAGAAAAGAUAACGAAAUCCUAUGUAUAUUUGAAUGAGUAGCUCUUUUGUUAUUAUUUUCAGAAAAGGAAAAAAAAGUUAUAUUAAUAUCACAAACAAAAGAGAAGGUAAGCUCGAACCUAAUACCUCUAGAAUCAAAGGAACGGACUACAACCACUGGACUACAAUGGACUUUGUCAAUUGUGGCGCCCCUAAAAUAUUUAUUAUUUUGGUGCCUAAAGCCCUGGCUUUAUGGGCUUUAGCCCAGGGCAGGCCCUGAUAACAGGCUACAAGUCUUUUAGGAAUUAUGAUGCUCUGCACAUUUUCUUUCCUCGCAAUUAAAUUUUCAGCAUAAGGAAAGAUGAUGCAAAUCUUACAUCAAGACUUGCUAUGCCUUUUUUCUUCGUAAAUUUCCUCAACAAAGAUGGAAUCUUAUAAUGAACUUAAAUGAAAAUGGUAAAUUUACUGUAUUAGUUUCAAUAGAUGUCCAAAAUAUUUGUUGAAUAUUUUACAUUACUAUACAUUUAUGACUUCUAAAUGAGUGCGCUGAAUCCGCUGAUAACCAAACUACACGCAGUAAAUAACCAACCUACAUUUAAUAGUUGUUCUGAACUUUCACAUAUUCUUUAAAAUCUACCACUAAAUUCACUUGGUAUUCUUUAAAGCAAUUCACUUUAUAACCUAUAGAUAGGCCUGUGACUUAUUUUCCGAGAUUCCGAUUCGAUCCGAAAUCCACUCCGGAUCCGCUCUGGAAAUAGAAUAUCCGGAGUGCCUGGAUCCGAAUCCGGAUAGUAAAAUUUUGGAUCCGUCCAAACCGAAUCCGAAUCCAGAUAUCUUAAUUUUUAAGUCCAAAUAUCUUAAUUUUUAGGUCUGGAUAUCUGGAUCCGGAUAGUAUUUUUUUAAACACAUUAAAAUUUUAAAUUUCAUUAAUAUUUAUAUUUGAUAUAUUAAUAUUUAUACAUGAAUUAAUCUUAUAAUAUUAUAUUUUAGUUUUUACAAUAUUAUAGACAAAAAUAUAAAUAUAUUUAUAAAUAUUAAAUUAUGUAUUAUAUUAAAAAUAGUAUUUUUUAAAAAAAUAUUAUUUUUAAUUAUUUUUACGGAUCUGAAUCCGGAUAUCCGAGGGUAAUAGAAUAUCAGAACAAAUAUCUGAAAUCCGGAUAUCCGGAAACCACGAAUCUGGAUCUAGAUAUUAAAUUCACGGAUCCGACGGAUCCAGAUCUGGAUUCGGAUAUAUCCUUUCCGGAUAUCUGGAUCUGUCUCAGGCCUACCUAUAGAUACUAUAUAUAAUGUAAUAGUCAAAACUUAUUGUUGAGACAUUAUUAGAUAAAUAAAAACAUAUAUUUAAUAAAAAUGAUCCAAAUAAAAAUUAUACAUAAAACUUAUAUGAUUUAAUAGAUAAACUGUUUAUAACUGAAUAUUUAUUUUUUAAUAUAUCUGAUUCUGACCAUAUAUAAUCAAAAUAUUUGAAAGAUUAUUACAUUUGAGGGAACGGCGAAACCGUAAAGGAAAUAUUAGAUAUAUAUCAAUUAUAUUAUUUUUUAAUCAAAUAUAUUAAUUAUAUAUGUUUAUUGUAUUGUACGAAUCAAAUUUGAAUAUUUGACCACUGUUUGUAAAGGUGAUUAAAUGAGUGCGAUGAUGACGAAAUUGAAUAUUGCUUGUAAAGGUGAUUAAAUGAGUGCGAUGAUGACAUCUUACAUUACUAUAAAUUUAUUAUGACUUUUCUAACCAAACUAUACGCAUCCUUUUUAUAUAACCGAGAAGUCAAUUUAGUGAUUUAUGCUGACGUAUCGUUCAUAAAAGAGUUUUCUAAUUAAUUGUUAUAAUUUGAUUGGUCGAAGAUUUUUCAUUUUUUAUUUAUUUAAUUAAAUUUUUAAAAAGAAACUAUUCAUAAAAUUACCUAAUCUAAUAUAUAUUUCCAAGCAUACAAUUAAACAUUUUAAAUAUAGAUCAAUUAACAUAAUUUGGUUAUAGAAAUAAUUAAAUAUCUAGAUUAUAUUAUAUAAAUUGAUAAGAUACAUAUAAAUACAUAUAAUACAAUAGAAACAGUUAUAAAAAUGGUUUUUUAUUAUGUUUAUAAUAGUAGUGAAUAAAAUAAAUAAUAGAUUUUAGAAAACUAAUUAAUCUAAACUUAAUCUUCUUAUAUAUUAAUUGAAAAGUCUCUUUAAUGAUUUAUGUUGACAUGUCGCUCAUAGAAGAACUCUCUAUUUAAUUGUUAUAAUUUGAUUGGUUGAUGGUUUUUCGGUUUUUAUUAUAUUUAUAUUAGUAGUGAAUAAAAUAAAUCAUAGAUUUUAGAAAACUAAUUAAUCUAAACUUAAUAAUAUUAAUUAAAUUCACUUAUUCACUAUAUAUAGUAUAAAAACGUGUCAAGUGAAUGUAAAACAGUCAAAUAUAUAAUUCUAAAACUCCAAUCAUAUAUGUGUUAUUACUUUUAAAAAUUAUUAAAAUAGUUUAUAUUUUAAAACAUAAAAACUAUAUGGUAAGUAAUUUAAACGUAUAUUAAUCAAAAAAAUUAUUUAGCUCAUCUAUUAAUAUAAACAGAUGAAUUAACAUUAUUAUACGGUAAUUAAUUUAAAAUUAUAUUAUUUGGUAAUUCAUUUAAUUUAUUGUAUGGUAAGUCAUUUAAUUAUAUUAAUCAAAGUAUUUUUCACAGGAUUUUUUAGAGUUAAUACUCUAUUAAUAUAAUUCAUAUAGCUUGGAUUAUAAUAAAAUCAGUAUGCUUAUUUUUAAUAGAAAAAAUCAGCAUGCUUAUUAAUAUAAAAAAAUAAUGAUUUAUGUUAACUAAUUGUAGAAUUAGAGAAAGAAUAUAUAUGUUGUAUCAAUUUAUUUAUUUUUAUCAAUUAACUAUAUAUAAUUAAAUAAAAUACUUUAGCAUUUUUUAUAGAAAUAAAUUUAAUGGUUAUAUAUUAUUAUAUAAAAGAAUUACAUUUGUAGGUAAGGAAUUAUUAUAGCUUUAAUGUUCUAAAAGCCCACGCAUUUUUUAUAGAAAUAAAUUUAAUGGUUAUAUAUUAUUAUAUAAAAUAAUUAUAUUUGUAGGUAAGGAAUUAUUAUAAUUUUAAUGUUUGAAAAACCCACUCUUUACAAAAGAUCUUCCAUGAUAAAAGCUUCUGAUCAUUGUAUUGGUCAUAGUGUGUUUUUUUUUUCAUUUGAGAGAUAGAUUAUUUUUGGUUUUUCUAUGAAACUAAAAUAUAAAGUAAUUUUACAACCAAUUAUCUGAAUUAAUUAUAAUAUUUUUUUCUGUAAGAGAAAGAAUUUUAAUGACUAAGGUUUAUGUUUUUGAACUAUUUUAAAUUUCACAUAUCUUAUAAAAAUCUAUACUGAUAUUUUUGAUUAUCCAAAUAUUUGAAACUAAAAAUUAAAAUUUUAAAUUUUUAAUUAUUAUUCAAAAAUUAUAACAGUGUAAAGAUAAUAUAUAUUUCUUCAUAUAAUAUAGCUACCCGCAAAAUUGCAGGCAAGCACCUAGUAUCUAUUAUUAUAAAAUUAGUUUUUUUUCCUUCUUCUAACAAGUGGCAGAGAGUUUUUUCAACACGUGUCAUCUAUAUAUAUUUUUUACAUUUUAGGUCAUUUUUUUAAAUUAUUGUAAUUUAGCAAAGUACUUUUUAAUUGUGUAGUAUAUAAUCAUUUUCGCAUUAACUAUUAUCGUAUGGAGUUCGAUAUUGUUCACGAAAAUUCAAGAUGAAUAAUGAAAUAAACAAAAUAAUAGAAAUGUAUUUUUCAUAUUUAAUUUAUUCACAACUAAAAAUAAAAUAAAUUUAAUUAUUUUCUUAUCAUUUUCUAUUAUUUAAAUUACAAAUUAUAUAUUUAUUUAAAUAUUUAAAAUAUAAAAUGACCAAACUAAUAAGAAGAAAUUAAAGUGUAAUACAUAAUCUAAACAUAAAACUUCUAUAUUCAGAGAGAAAAAGUAAAAUACCAUAGUAACACUAACUCAAUAAAGUUUUAGAGCUGAAAAUAGAUCAACAAUUAAGACUAACCUAUCUCAUCUUACCAUAGAAUAUCUUGGCAAGGACAAACAAAUGUCAGAAAAAAGUAAAAAGAUAAAAUAUGGGAUAAAACAAUCCCCAAAACACAAAGGAUCGCGAUCAAGCACCAGCGCAAAAAAAAAACAAAAUGGCGAAUCAAAGAAAGAAUAAUCAUCGGAAGAACAAAGUCACCAUGAAAAAAAGACGCAUGUCUAAAGCAUACCGGAAGCACAACCACCACCUAAGAGAUAAAAACACCUCACAAACUAAACAAGCACAUACAAGGCGUCCAUGCCAGCGAAGAACCACAAAACUCUGAAUAGAAGAAACCAAAACUCCAAAAGACUAACUCCGCACACCUACACUAAGUAAUGCGUGAGAAGAAGAUAAACAACCUGAGUGGGGGAGAAUGGAGCCAACCACCAAAAAAUCAAAGCUUAAGCUUGAGACCAUAAACAACCUUCCACGCGCACAAAGCAUACACAGAGAAAAACACUUCAAACCUGGAGUAGCAAAUAUGACGAAAGGGAGAGCCACCAGAGACGUGAUCAGCGAUGAAAGGUGCAAUGAGAUGAAAGAACAAAAAGAUAAAAAGAGACAAAAUGAAAUCAACAGAGCCAUCCUCGACUAUGAAAAAUAGCAUCGAAGUCAGAUCACCAAAUACUAGAUCUUGAAAACCAAAACGAGCAGAGACUAUCGACGGCAAACCAACGAUGAGGAAGACAACAUCAAUGACAACUAAACUCUGGCCUAAUCUAAAGAGAUGUAGUUUCUAACCUUAUCUGAAAUCUAAAGAAAAAAGAGGAACAAUACUGACCAAAAUAACCUACAACACCGUAAGCAACAACCACACAACAUGGAACUAAUAUGUCUGAUUUAUAACAAAUACUAGAUAAUCUCAUAGACAAAGAAGGUGAGGAAAAACAAGAGCAUAAAAAAGAGUCUUUUUCAAAUGAUGGUGAGAAGAACUGCACAUCGGAGAGGUAAACAAAAUACAUAGAUGGUGCAAAAUAUGGAGAGUGCAAAAAACAUCUAAAAAAAAGUAAUGUUCAAAAUUGUAAAAAAAUUAAUUUAUAAUUUUGACGCUGUUAAUCUUAUAAUCAACAAAUGCUUAAAAGCGAAGUUAUUAAAAUUUAAUAUAUUUUAUAUCAGAAACUCACUUCACCACUAAUAAGUAAUAUUAUAUAUACAACAACACAUUAUUAAAAAGACAAACACAUAAUACAUUAACUUAUUAUCUACUACUACAUAUAACAUAAUAAAACACCAAAAAGUACUUUUUACAAAUAAAUAUUGACUAUAUAAUCAAAUCUUCUAAAAAAACCAUAUUUAAUAAUAAUAAAAUAAUAUUUUGCGCGAAUACGUCCUUUACUAAUAAAAGACUGGAUGGAUACCGUAAAGGAAUGGAUGGAUACCCGCGCAUCUCCUCGUUUACUUUUUAUUAUUCAAAUCGAAAAUUAUCUUUUUUGAAAAGUAAGAUAAGAAAAUUCCACGAUGCGAACCCCAUCAUCUGCCGAAAGCAAAAACAGAUAAUUUACGUGUUGCAAAAUUCGCCAAACUUUGAGCAAAUAAUUUUCUUGUCUUUUAUCAUCUUUUUUCUAUUUAACAGUUUUGUCUCUUCGUCCUGUUUCUGAACAAACACAAAUAAGAAGAAGAUGGAAACGAAGUACGAUCGUGCUACCGAGGUAAAAGCCUUCGACAAAAUGGUAAGGAUUGACUCAAAGUUGAGCUUUCACUCCGAGUGAUGGGAUCAGGAGAACUCAACUUUGAGCUUUUAUGAAAAGCUUUAAGGCUGGAUUCUUAUCGAAUGGUAAGGAUUAAGCGCUAAAGCUUCUGAUAAAAGCUCAAAGAUCAUCUCCCCAUGACAUUCAACUCUGGUCUGCGUACAGUUUUUUUUGAUAUAAUUGAUGGUUCGUAAGUUUUAAUGGUCUGUGUGUUUUAAGAAAGUUAUUUUGGAGCAUUCAAUGCAAGUGAUGGGAUCAGAGAGCUCAACCAUUAGCUUUUAUGAAAAACUUUAAGGCUGGAUAUUUAUCAAAUGGUAAGAGUUUAUCGCUAAAGAUUCUGAUAAAAGCUCAAAGAUAAGCUCCCCCAUAACAUUCAAUUUUGUGUACAUUUUGUUUGAUAUUAUUGAUGGGUUUUGUAAGUUUUAUUGGUUUAAGGAAGUCAUGUUUGAGUAUUGAAACCAACUGAUGGGAUCAGAGAGCUCAACUUUGAGCUUUUUAUGAAAAGCUUUAAGGCAUAAUCCUUAUCAAAUGGUAAGGUUUAGCGCAAUAGCUUUCGUUAGAAUAUCUCCAAAAGAAACUAUAUAACUUCAAAUAUGAAUUCUAAGUAACUCCCCCUCUAAAAACUUAUCGAAAACAAAAGUCCCCAUCCAUAAAAAGCUUUAAGGCAGAAACCUUAUCAAAUGGUAAGGUUUAGCGCAAUAGCUUUUGUUAGAGUAUCUCCAAAAGAUACUUUAUAACUUCAAAUAUUAAUUCUAAAUAACUUUCCCUCUAAAAACUCUCUCUCUGAAAACUUCUCGAAAACAAAAGUCCCGAUCUUGCCUCCGGCGGCCGCUUCCUCUCUUCGCCGUCGGAGGGCUUCUCAUCCUUUCUUCUCUUUUUUCCUUUGCUCCUACUAUCCUAUCUCACCCGCCUCCGAUAUGUGGUUGUCCCUGGAGCGGGAUCGUUCGUCGGCGGAGGAGCCUAGGCCGAAUCUGGUGGUCGUUUCGUCCCUCUGGUGACUCUGUGCGGGUGUGGUUAGGGUGGGAGACAUGGAUUUGUUUUUGGGUAGGGUUUUUGUCUGGUCUCGAUUUGUAGAUCUCCGGCGAAAUCCGCUGAAUGGCGGGCUUGGCUUCGUAUGGUGGUCCCUUCGCCUAGGAUCUGGUCUUCUCCAGCGUUCCAUCUCAUCCGUUUUUCCGGCGAAGUAGCACGGCGGCGCGUGAUUCUCCAGCGCACGAGGCGUUUCGUCGUCAGGUUUUGUGCAGCUUAAGGUGCAGUGGGUUCAGAGAGGUUUCUCCUCUAUUUGUUUUUAUGUUUUUAUUUUAAAAUCUAUGUUUAAAAUGUUAAGUUUGACUUUGUUUUAUUUAAUAAAUAAAUUUAAUUUUUGUUUAAAAUUUUAUGUUUAAAAAUAAGUUUAAUAUUUUUUUAAUUGUUAAGAACCUUAAUUAAGAAACCACUAAUAUACCACUAUAAUUAAGUGUCUCUUAACAAAGUCUGUUAUCUGUUAUCUGUUAUCUGCUGCCAAAAAAAAAAACAAAGUCUGUUAUCUUUAUUUUAAUAGUUAAAAAAUAAUUACAAACCACUUAAAAGACACUAAAGGGUUUUACCAAUAAACAUGCUCUUAUGGUGGGGUUCUUAGCUUCGGGUAAGAACUGUUUCUACUGUUUUUUAGUUUUUAACUAAUAAAAACUAAGAACUGACUCUUAAAUAAGAGAUAUAAGAGCCGAUUUUUUGUCGAAAAGUGUAAAAAAAAAAUAAAAAAAUAUCAAAUCAUGAAUUAAAAAUCCCAAAUUAAGAAUCUAGGUUAAUUAUGUUCUUAGCGCUAAAGCUUCUGAUAAAAGAUCAAAAAUAAGCUCCCCAUGACAUUUCAACUCCGCGUACAGUUGUUUGAUAUUAUUGAUGAGUUUUGUGAGUUUUAUUGGUUUGAAUGUGUUAAGAAAGUCAUGUUGGAGUAAUUAAAGCGAGUGAUGAGAUCAGGAACACUCAAUAUUGAGCAUUUAUGAAAAGCUUAAAGGCUAAAUCCUUAUCAAAUGUAAGGAUUAAGUGCUAAAGCUUCUGGUAAAAACUAAAAGAUUUUUAAAAUUAUAUAGAUUUUAUAAGAGUUUAAAAAAUUUAAUAUGGUUUUGAAAAAAUAAAAGAAAUCAAAAUAUAUACGAUUUUAAAAAGUUUUGUAAGACUCUGAGAACACUUUUAAAACUCAGUAUUUGCACUAUUUUAUAGGCUUUUGACCAAAAUAUAAUUUUUUACUACAACAUACGAUUUUAUAAAAAAAAGAUCAUGAUGUUUUUUUUUUUGGAACUGAUUUUAAGAUCAUGAUGUUCUUUUGAUCAAAACAUAUGGUUUACAAGGUUAUGUGGCUCUAAAAUAAAGGAACAAUGAGUUUGUAAAGUUUUGGAAAGUGUUACGAAAAUUUGUAAAGCUUUGAAGAGGUCUUAUAAAGAAACUUCUAACAAACAGCUUAUUGUAUUUAUCUACUUUAUAAGGUUUAAUUUGUUUGGAAGGUCUACGAAAGAAUUAUAGAAUUUAGAAAAUUAUCUACAAUCGUAUAAAAUCUUAUAAAUAUGGAUAUAGAUGGGAUUAUAAUGAAACUUGCAACACCUUAUAGAACAUGUUUUACUCUGUUUUCUUUACUAGAAAAUAAUCUCUCAUUUAGCUUAUAACAUUAUUCUCUAUCGAGCGACAGUCUUCACUUUAAUUACCUCAUCUUGUAAAUCCGUGCAGACAUUGUCAUCUGUGACUUCAUGAUAAAACAUUAUAUAUUCACUAAUAAUCUCGUCUUUAAAACAUUAUAUAUACAAUCUUACGUUUGACAAAUGAUCUAGAAACAAUCAAAAUACUACCAACAAAAAGGAUAUGUAUAUCAUACAAGCAACAAAAUCUUGCAUGGGAAUAUGCGAGAUGGAAUCAUCAUAGCUACCUGUCCAAGCUCCUCGUUUCAAUUGGAAGUCCUGGCCGAGGCAGGUGUAUUUGUUUCAGCAUGCUACAUACUGAUCUGAAAUAGCCUAGAAGACUUCGGAUACGUAAGUCCAAAGCUUUGAUCAGAUCUUGAAUUGAUGCAACACAGAGUUCCCAUCAAGCCCUCUGGCCAUGUAAUGUCUCGUGUACUCAGUGACGGUAGUGUCUCUAUACUUGGGAGGAUUUUGUUCAGACAAAAGCUCUUUCAUCGGUCCAUAUACUCGAAAACUCGGCAAAGGAUGCACAAAGAAAGAUGCUACCGAAACACGAGGCUCACCUCUGUUAGCCAAAACCCUAUGCUCCACGCUCAAAAACUUGUCAUUCGUUAAAAGCUGUAAACAAAAAAAUCACAAAAUGCGUAUGAAUCAAUGGUUUGAUAUAUUCAUGUCAAUAUAAUAAAACUUACCUGUAAGAAAUCUCCAAGGUUGAUGAGAAGAGCUCCAGGAACAGGAGGAACAUCCACCCAACAUCCAUCCUGAAGAACUUGAAGCCCACCGAUGUUGUCUUGAAGAAGAACAGUGAGAAAAGAUCUGUCUGAAUGCUGACUUGUUCCGAACGUUAGGUCAGGCUCAGGACAAGGCGGGUAGUAAUGAGAGAGCAUUAACAAACCCUUUGUGCAAUCCAUUUCUUUCAAAUGGUUAGGAUCCAGCCCUAAAGCUUCUGAUAAAAGCUCAAAGAUUAGCUCCCCUAACUCCAUCACUCGCUUUGAAUACUCCAACAUGAUCUCCCUAAAACAUUUAGACAAAUACAACUUACAAAAUCCAUCAAUAAUAACAAAAAAAAAAAAAAACAAGUUCAGAUUUUAUGAUUCUUACUUUGAGUCGGUCUGGUCUGGUUUUAGCUCUGUUUUAAUUUUAGUUUUUUUUCGAUAUGUUGGUUUAUAAAAUUAACUACCAUAUUAGAAGUAUACCGACCUACCUUCUUCUUCUUUUUGAACAUAGAUAUAUAUCUACUUCAGUUUUUCGAUAUUUAUAAAAGAUAGUUACCAUAUUAAAACCGAAUCUACCUAAUUCUUACCCACAAAUCUCUGGCAAGUCCUCUCUCCUUGGAACAUCAGGGGACAUGAAACAACUUAAAGUAUCUCUCCAGUUGGCAGAUGGAGAGCUAUAGAGAUCGAAGUUACUAUUAUAAGUAACCUUCUUGGUGUUAUCCCGGGUAUAGAGCUUCUUCCUCACGUCUGAGUCUUGUUCAUGAAACCCACAAACCCUAUCUUUCAUCUUGUCCAUAACUUCAACCGGAAUCCCAUGGUUUAUCGCCUGGAAGAACCCGUAUCUCUCCACCGCUUCUUUGAUCUUCAAGAUCACGCGAUCUCGCGUGACCGUGGAGUCGAACACGCCACCUCCAAGAUCGAUCGUUGGGAUCUUCAUCGUUGAGGAGGGAAGCAGUACUGGAGUUGGAGCCGUUGAAGUGAGAUGAGGGUGGUGGAAGAUACGGGGGAUCUCUGAGAUUCCGGCGUCGACGAGACCUUUCACUCCGAGUUUCAUUUCGUCGAAAGCUUUUACCUCGGUAGCACGAUCGUACUUUGCUUCCAUCUUCUUCUUCCUUUUUUUUUGUUUGUGUUUGUUCAGAAACAGGACGAAGAGACAAAAACUUUAUAAAGAGACAAAAGACAAGAAGAUUCUUCGCUCAAAGUACAAUACUUAAGUGAUCGGAAUACGGUGUUCAAGGCUUAGGUGAGCUUUGUUGUUGUUGUCGGAAGAUGAUUGAGCUCGGACUACCCCACUUUUUAUCUUUUCGACUUUUCAAACAAAAACUGAUUAAAAAUAAAAAGAACAAGUGGAAAUGCGGGGUAUCGAUCCCCGUACCUCUCGCAUGCUAAGCGAGCGCUCUACCAUCUGAGCUACAUCCCCAUGACAUUGGUUAAUGGUAUAGCGUCACUAUACCUCGUCAGUAUACCUAGUAAUGUAAAAUACAAUGUCGUUGGUUUUUUUUUAUUUGACGUCGAAUGUCGUUGGGUUAGGUAACUGAAUAUUGUUUGUGAAAGUGACUAAAAAUGAGUGGGGAUGAUGAUUAAAGAUUUUUUUUCCUUUUCCUAAUGAUUACAAAUUGAGUAAAUGACAGCUAAAGAGAUUAAAAGAGAUCAACCGAAUCUCUUGGAGGAUGCUUCCGGGUCUAUGAUUGGUAAGGUGCUGAGACCGGUUCAAAGCUAAAACUAUUUGCAAGGCAUCUUCAAUUUUUUCAUCGGUGAUAUAUUUAGUGUGGUAGAAUCUUGGUUAUAAAUUAUAGUUCUACUUUCAGUGAAUAUUUCCGAAUUUCGAACGAAUUCUUAUUUCAAUUUUUGUUGUUGUUGUUAAAAUGUUAAAAUCUUUUAACUGAAACAAAUAAAUCAAGACUAAUUUAAACACAUGACUGGUCAAGUCGUAAACACACCUACCAAAGAGAGAAUUGAGGCAUGUGGUUCAAGAAACGGUUGGGGCUCAUUCUCUCACGUUUUAUUUUGGUUCCACCUACCUACUUAGAACUACCCAUCUCUUGUUUUCUUCUCCCCGUCUUGCUCCUUAUUUUCUUCUUCUUUUAAUUAAAAACAAACAUAACUUAAUUAAUUAUAAAAGUGUUUUUGGUUACAAACUAGUGGUUAUUGAUAAGUGAAAAGAAUAGUAUAUCAAUCACAUUUAAAAUCAAUCAAUAUGAGGUGUAGGUGGCGCUAAUUCUUUUAGCAAAGUAUGCAUGAUGCGGUUUAUUUUCGUCAGGUAUUCUACGGGUAAUAGGCCCAGAAAUUAGUUUUUAUAAAUUUUAUGUGGGUCAGAUGACCCCCCCCCCCCCCUUCUCUUGGGAGUUUACUCCAGUGAACCCGGAUCAUCACUGUAGCGCCGACCCCACGACAAGUGGCGGCCCGCGAUUGGUCUUAUUAAUAAUUUUUUUUUUUAAAAAAAAAAAAAAAAAAAAAAAAAAAAAACUACAAAUACUAUCCACGGUAAAUGAAAUAAAUACUAUCCAUAGGAGUAUUAUUUAGGGUAUAUCUUUUUAAAUGAGUUUUUUUAAUAAAAAAAAAACACACACACAAAAAGAGAAAAAGAGAAAAAUGACCAAAAAUGUUUCAUUAGAAAGGUAAAAGAAUUUAUACUUUUACUCUAUAUAUAUAUAUAUAUAUAUAAAAAUGUAAAUAAGGAUUUAAAUGAAAAAAAAUUAUUUAACUCGGAUAUUUUCCAAUUUUUUGAUUUUUUCUUCAAAUUUUAUUUUAAAAUCCUAAAAUUAAUUUUGAAAUUAUUUAUUAUUUUAAAUUUUAAUUAUAUGUUUUUUUUAAAUUACAAGCCCAACCCUUUUAUAUAUAAACUCUAAGUUUAUAUUAGUUAAUUCUAGGGAUAUAAAUAGUUUAUAUUUUUAAUAAAACAUAUUUUAAUCAUUUUGAUGCUUGUGUGAUAUAUUUAUGAUAAAAAAAAUUAGUGCUAUAAUUUUUCAGUUAUUUAUACAAUCAAAAUAUUUAUUCGAUUAUGUUUUGUUAAAAAGGAGAAAAGUAAGGUUUUGUGAGAUCUUUUAUUGGUUUUGAUCUAAGUGUCAUGGUCCCAUUGCCGGAUACUCCAAUAGCUAAAAGUUAUCUACAGUAAAAUGGAUUAGUUAUACAAUAAAAUAUAUUUUUUAUUAACCACACAAAAAAAUAAUAUAUUAUACAAUAACAUAAUAAUACACUCAAAACAUUAUUUUUGUUUAAAAAAAAGUAAGAAUGAAAAUAUCUAAAGGAAACGCAACGCCACAUGUCAAAAAUAAUGAUCCCUCUAUCUGCCAAGCCUCCGCUCCUCGCUAUAAAGAUGGCUUCUCAUCAUCACAGAGUCAAUAUCACUUAACAAUCUAACUGUUGUGUCUUGUAAGAGAAAAGAGAGACAGAGAAAAGAUGGUGCUAAAGGUGUACGGACCUCACUUUGCUUCACCAAAGCGUGCUUUGGUAACGCUUAUCGAGAAGGGCGUUCCCUUCGAGACCGUCCCCGUCGAUCUCAUGAAAGGAGAGCACAAGCAGCCUGCUUAUCUCGCCUUACAGGUUCCCUUCCUUGAUCUUCUCUGAAUCUCUUCUGAAUACUCAUUUCAAGAUUCUGAUGAUUCUCUUUGUUUCUUCCUAUGCAGCCUUUCGGUACCGUUCCUGCUGUUGUCGACGGUGACUACAAGAUCUUCGGUACGUUCUUACAUCAUACCUCAAUCUUGAUUGCACACAUGAUGUGAGAUUCUUGAUACAGUUUAGGCUUAUUAGAAGUUUGAUCUUAGAUUAAGACAUGUGUGGAAGAUGUUAUAUUGAGAGAUGUUUUGUUUUAUUACAGAGUCACGUGCGGUGAUGAGGUACGUAGCUGAGAAGUACAGGUCACAAGGACCUGACCUUUUGGGCAAAACCGUGGAAGACAGAGGUCAAGUUGAGCAAUGGCUCGACGUUGAGGCCACCACUUUCCACCCACCUCUACUUAACCUCACACUCCACAUCAUGUUCGCAUCAGUCAUGGGAUUCCCUUCCGAUGAGAAGCUGAUCAAGGAGAGUGAGGAGAAGCUCUCAGCUGUGCUCGAUGUCUACGAGGCACAUCUCUCCAAGAGCAAGUACUUGGCUGGUGAUUUCGUCAGCUUGGCUGAUUUGGCUCACCUCCCUUUCACUGAUUACUUGGUUGGACCCAUCGGUAAGGCUUACAUGAUCAAAGACAGGAAGCACGUGAGCGCAUGGUGGGAUGAUAUUAGCAGCCGUCCUGCUUGGAAGGAGACACUUGAGAAGUACUCAUUCCCUGCUUAAAGAUGAUGAUCAUGUUCUUGAUCUUUGUUUGUGUUUCGGAGUUUCUAAGCAAUGCCUGUGUUUAAUGUGAGGUUUUUAAUAAAGAGUGGAACUGUAUGCCUCCUCUUAUCUUAUGUAUGCCACCUCUCUUGUCUCUUUUGUUUCAUAUUGGAACUCCAAUUCUGUGUGAUUGAGUUGAGGUUUGAAUCUAGAGGAACUUAAUUAUCUAUCUUUUGUUUAGCUCAUUCCAACCACAUUUUGAUUAUUGUCCCCAUUUUUCACUCGCUAUCAAAGUUGAUAUUUGGGGGGGUAUAGGGCCAUUCGGCCUACAUUUUAAGAUUGAAAAAAUUACUUAAAAAAAAAAAAAAAAAUUGAAUUUUUGAAACUAUUAUAAAUAUAGGUCUAAAGAAUUAUAAGCAUUUAGCUCAAUACAUUUUUGCUCUAAGUUUCUCUUUGCUUUUUUCGAGUAGAUUCAUGUUCGUUCAUGACACACCAUUCAUGCAGGACAAUACCUGCAUUCAUCAUAUCCAAAUAAUAACAUACUAACUCUAAAUAGAUAUUUGCCUCAAUGUGUUUUUGUGUGUUUUCGAGUUGAUUCAUGUUCGUUACUAACAUCAUUCAAGCAGGAAAAUACCUGCAUUCAUCAUGUCCAAAACCGGCAAAAGAAAAUGUCAUGUGCACACAAACAUAACAUCAUUCAACAAUUAAAAGUUUAAAACACAUCUCUUUGUUCUUCCCAAGUCGUUACCAAGUCAGACAGAAACUCAAGAGGUUGCUGAGAGAUAGACAAAAUGUUGCGGCACAAGCAAAACCAAAUAGCAACUCUUUUUGGUUUGUUAGAACAAUCAACUCUCCAAACAUUACCAGCACAUCAGAGUAUAUAAAAAUGUACCAAGGUCCCUACCAUUUAUUCAUCAAGGCUGAUGAUGAAAAGAUUCAGGAGGCAGAUCAUUGCGUGGAACAUCAGAUUCAGGAGUUACUACAGUGAUAUCCAAGCUGUCUCGUUCAGUCUCUGCAGAUAUUUCUCUUACAUCAGAAACUCUUGCCUCUGUCGCCUGAAUAUCAUUCCAUUCGUUUUCUCCAACCGGAGCCUGAGCAUGAGCGUUUACCACCUGAUCUUCACUCAUACGGACUACAUUCUCUCCCGGCAUGGACGCUGUUUUAGAAACGCUCAGACAUGCUUUGUCCACAUCCUUUUCUGUUUCUUUCGUCAUCGGAGUCGGAAGAGAUGUUUCGCCGUUGGUAGAUUCAGUCUUCUCCUCAAACACUUGCUCCGUCUCUAGCUGCUGCCUGUUUAUUCAAAAUAUAAAAGAGGAUUAUGACACACUAUACUAGUGUGGGAGAUAGAUUCAGAUAUGCUUAACCUUUGAAGCUGGGUUUGUAACAUAUUCACAUAAGCUAAAAGCUCUUGCUUCUCCGCCCAAGCAGCUGUCUCUCUCUGAGAAGCCUCCUUUGCUUUUGCUUCACCAUUUGCUUCUGCAACCCUCGCUUUCUCUUCGGCUCUCACAACAGCUCCUUCAAGUAUUACAACACGCUCUCUGGCUUUCCCCAGCUCAGACCGCCACAGAUGUGCCUCUUUGAGAGCAGAGUCUCUUUCCUUGACCAGUUGAUCUUUUUCCCUACUCAGAGUAGAUGUCUUCUCUUCCAGUUCCUUAAGCUACAUAGUUAGACACAACAAUCAAUUAACAACAAUAAAGAUGAACAUACAUGACAAGGCCUCAUCAUUCAUUACCUUCGAUAUAGCCGCUUCUUGCUGUCUCUCUGAGUCUUUAGAUAAGCGCUCAAGCUCCACACAAACAAUUUUCCUUUGUUCAUCCAUUGUGUGAGCUGCAGAUGCUGCCGCUACAGCUGCUUCAGCCGUCUCUGAUAGCUUAUCUGCUAUCUCUUUUAUCAUUGAGUCACGAGAACGAAGUUCCCGCGCCAGAUUCUGUAGUUCUUCAUCUUUCACACGCAGAGUUUCCUGCAACAUGUAAGUGGCUCAAUCAAAGCUAACCUGAACAUAAAAUUGUAUAAAGAUGUCUUCUAUAUGAUUUACAUCACUCAGCAAGACACUGCAGAAUGGAUCUCUAUAUGCUACAUGCAGUGAAAUAGAGAAGAAAAAAUAGCGGACCUUCAUUAUAGUCAAAUCAUCUAGUGGUCCAUCGAUCGGUUUAUUAGCCGUGAUUUUCAGUGCGUUCCUCAGAGAGACCUGCAUUGCAGCUUGGAUCUCUUUGGAACAUUCCAGCGCUGUUGAAUUAGCAGCGGCGACAACGGUUGCAACCGUACCAAGUGUUGAAGAACCGCUUCCGCUUAGAGAAUCAACAGCCUCCUUAUGUGCCUUUAGAACUAGUUGUGUCGCACUGAAUAUUCCAAGUGCCAAACAAGGAUAAGCGUGGUGGCAUCUCUAAGAGAUUGGUAAGCUUAAAAUAACGAGAGAUAAAGAUCAAAGAACCAUAUGACUUACUGUAAGGUAGUAACCCAAGCUCUAGCUGCACCAGGAGUCUCUGCACACAAAAAGUAAUCUUUCUUCUGUGGGGUACUAAUAUCUAAAAUCAUGUUGAAGAAAAACUCAACUCUACAUCAAUCAUUCAUCUCCUUUCAGACAAAAGAGAGAACUAUAAACUUGCUAACAAUAUACUAGAAACAAGGAUACAGAUGCAGCAACCAUUAUAUUUCGGAAGCCCCCUGAAACACAAAAGAAAAUAGAUUUCACAAUACGAACUUAAAUAAUGCUGAUUAGUCAGAACAAGAGGAUGUAGCAAUGCAUACUGGAAGUUGACAGGAGAGACAGUGAUUGUGCUAUUAUCAUCAAACAGAAUCGUUCCCUUGAUAGCUGGUUCGUUCCGUCUUGUCCUGAGUCAUGGAAGAACAUUAGAACUCAAAUACAAUAACCCAUGAAGUGAUCUCAGCUACAUAAGCAAUUGAUAUCACUCACUUGUACUCCAUCUUCCCUGUUGUUGGAUCAAGUAUCACCCAUCGUUCGUUCCACUUUCUCAGCUAAUUCACACAUAAACAGAAAACACAAGGAUGGUAUCAGUCCAAAGUCUUGUAGCAAUCCAAGACAUAUCGAGCCAACACAAGACUUGUCAGAAGAACAAUUGAUGCUUAAGCUAUACAACUCUAGACACAAGCAAUUCCCGAAAAGGAAGAGACUUUUGAUCAAUCCACGAAAAUUGAAGAGAACCCAUCAAAAAAGAAUUAAGAAAAUAAUUCGAAACUUACAGUUUCGGACCGCUUGUAAAGCGGUCCCUGUAGCAAGUUCCGACCAGAGCCAGUUGCUAGCUGUCGCUUGAUCCUUUCCAAGCUGUUGUCCGUAGCAUCAACAGGUCUCUGCUCAUUUCACGAUAGCAACAGUAAAUUAGAGAAACAGCUAAUAUAAUUCGCACAGAUCGAGAGAGCGAGAAAAGAGACCGGAGAUGCGCCGUUUGAAGCCAUGUUGAUUGAGAUCGGUGAGAUCGGAGAGCUCUUUGAACGAUCGAUGAAUCGAGAGAGUGGGGGGGUUUUAGAGGUGUGAGGUGAAGAGGACGAUGAAGAUGGAAUUGCAGAAGAAAUUGCUGUUAGGUUUGGUUUCGCGGAAUGGCAGUUGAAUCUGUCUUCACUCUCUCCAACGCUAUCGAAUCUACUUAACCGGCCGGUACGUGAGUUGACCAGCUUUUACGUCAAAUAACCGGUUCUUUGAGAUUUUCUUUUUUGGGUCAUUUAAUCUAACGGUUUGUUUACUAGUCAUUAAUUUCACCAGAUUUUUCUAGUAAAACUUAAAGUAUAAUAUACUACUAGGAUAAGACCCGCGCCUUGCGCGGGAUUAAGUUAUUAUUUUUAUUAUAUUUUGGAGAAUGAAACAAUAAUUUAGCUUCAUUUGGAUUAGGGGUGUUCAAUCCAGAUAUCGGAUUGGUUUCGGUUCGGUUCGGUUUUUUUCGGUAUUUUGGUUAGUAAAAUAUAACUACUAUUCUAAAUCCAUAUUUACUUUGACUUUAAUCUUUCACAUACUUUUGAAAGAUUUCAACUGGACAACUAAAUUGAUCAGUCAAUCUUGUUGCUUUAAAUCAUUAACUCGAACUCGAGAAGAAAUAUUUUAGCAUAUUAUCAUAUCUCACUUACCCCUUUGUUGAUUAUGUUUGCGAUAUUCCUUAAGAACAUUUACUUGUGUUUAAUUUGUUAAUAGAUUAAAAAUGUAUUCAAUCUAAGAUUUAUAAUGAUUUAUUUUAAAAAAAAUUAUUUGAAUUAUUAUUAUUUUGAAAACAUAAUGUUAUAAAAACUGUAAUUGUAAAACAUAUUUUUAAAUUGUUACUAUUCACAAAAAAAAUCUGUGAUUAUGAAAAAUGUAAUUUGAAAUUUUAAUAUAUUCAUAUUUUAGAUGUGGAAAGAGUAAUUUUAAUACAUAUUUCAAAAAUAAAUAUUUAUAUUUAUUUUAUUUAUUAACCCGUAUUAUAAUGCAAUAUAAUAACUUAUGAAAACAAUACUUUAAUUUUAAUAAAAUAAUUAUUUAAGUGUAAAAUAACGCAAAACAAAAUCAAACCAAAUACCAAAUAGUCAAAUACCCUAUAUUAAAAUAUUGUAAAACUCUAUAAAUUAAUAAUGUUGAGGCUAUGAAAUAUUUUUAAUUUAUAGAUUUAUUAAUUUUAAAAAAUUCCUUUUCUGGAUUUUUUAUUUUAGAAUAUAUAUAUAUAUAUAUUUAUUUUAUUAUUAAAUGAUAUUUUUUACUCAUAUGGUUUUAAAAUCAUGUGUAUCUUCUUAUAAUAAAAAUGUUAAACCAUUGAUCAUUAAUUUUUAACAUAAUAAUUUUAAUAGUUUUAGUCAUUUAUUGUCGUUUUUAAAAAUUCAAAAUAUAACAUAUACGAAAAAAUCUAAAUUUUAUUUUUAUAGCUAAUUUGAUUGUUUAAUUUAUUUUAAUAAUAUAAAAUUAAACAAAAAAUGAUGGAGGAUAUAUACAUUGUUAUCAAAUCUUUAUUAUUAAACUCAUUAAUUGUCAUAUAUAUAUUAGUCAUUUAAGGUAAUUCCGUAGGUUUUAUUUAAGGAAAAAAAAUAUCAUAUCAUAUCAUUAUAUCAUAUAGUUUGACCAACUUAUGUAUCUAGCAACAUAUAAAAAUCGAAUUUGGACCUACUUAUUUUUCAAUUGAAUGUAAUUGACUACCUAAUUGAGUGCCACCUAUGCAUUGGGACCUUUUUUAAUUAAUACAAAAUUGAGGUUACAUCUUUUCAAAUGUUCCUCAAUUAAUAUAUAAGGGAUUUUGACUGAAUAAAUUGGAGUAAAAGAGUUCUCUGAAAUUUCGAGUCCGGAGAAAGAACAAGUUUAUACCACAUUUCUAAGUUUUUACCAAGAGACCAUCAUCACUUAACUAAUUUUUGGUUUAGAAGAUCACAUCAAGUGGAGUAGGAGUACCAACCAUGAAUGACGACGUGAUUACCCUUUAUGUAUUUAGGAGUACCAACCGUAUGAAAUGUAUGUAGUAGAGAAAAGACGAAGAAGCUGUAUGACCAUUGUAAGAUCUUACAUGUAGAGGUGUUUGAAACUUUAUAAAAUAGAAAAAAAAAGAGAAGAUUAGGUACCAUGAAUGAAAGCACUCUUUAUUUAUCUAUUAUAUUAGUAAAAAUUGGGGCCCGUAAGAAUUGUGCUUUGAACAAAGGCUGAUUAAAAGUGAGAAAUCGCAUCUGAGAGGGAAUUGUUUUGGUGCUACGCCAUUAGCUUUGCAGUCACUUUGAUACCAUGCAUGUUGCAGUACAAUAGUUACUCAAUAUAGCUCAGAUCAGGUCCUCAGUCUAUGAACUCUAAUCUUUUUGACACAUUUACAAACAUAUAAAUAUAUACAUUCUUAUUCUCUUUUUCAAACACUGCAUUCUUAUUUCAUUGUUACAUUUUCCGCUUAUUUUUGAGUAUAUACAUUCGUGUAAUACUUUUUUUUUUGAACUUUAUAAAUGUAUGUGUGCAAAACCUCGAUAUAGUCUCUAUAUAGUCUUUGCUUAUAACGAAAACAAAAUUCCUUGCCAUGUUUACAUUGAAGAUUGAUGAAUUCUCCAUGAUGGAUCUCUGGAUAUUACAAGGCUAUAAAAUAGCCAGAGGAGUUUAAGGUAUCCAGGAUUUAUAGACCAACAAUAUAUGAACAAUAUCUAAGAAAAAAAACAAAGUGAAUAUAUAUCCCUAUAAGGCUAUAACUAUAAGUAGUUUUACAAGUAUUUUUUGUUUCAAAAUAUAAAAUACCUUCACAUUUUAAUGCAACAUUUUAUUUAUUAGAUAUUGUGUGACCAAUUAAAAAUGCAUGUUCUUAUAAUUCGUUUAAUUUAUAUAUUAAAAUAUUUUUUCAGAAAGUAACUAUUUUUUUUAAUAUGAGUGUUUUUAACUAAAACUACUUAUAUUUUGAAAGAGAAUGAGUAUAUUUUAUCAUGCAUCAUAGCCAAAGAAGAAAACAUAAACUAGAAACGAUUUUAAAUCCAAACAGCGAAGAUUACAACUCAAAACACAGAAACAUAACAUCAUAAACUUUUAUUCCAUAGAUUUUCUUCUUACUUUGUUUCAAACGUAUCACGGUUUACUACUCACACACACACAUAUAAGUGUAUAUAUAGACGCAAACCAUGCAUACUGGUGAAAACAUUAUAUAGUUUUAGUGACCGGGCUGUGUCUGCACAGCUUCUCCGGCAUAAGAACAGCACCGUACGCACCCACGGUAAUUUCUGUAGCAGCAACCGUGGCGGCAAUAACCUCCUCCCCCACGGCCUCCGUUGUAUCCCCCAUGUCCCCCUCUGUUGUAUCCCCCAUGUCCUCCUCCGUUGUAUCCCCCGUGUCCUCCUCCGUUGUAGCCUCCAUGGCCGCCGUGUCCCCCAUUAUACUGAUCAGGUUGCACGGUUUGCCCACUCUCCGACUUAACAGUGCCUGUCAACAACGCAUCGUUUCAAAAUAUGUUUAGCAUGGGCAAAUGUGCAUUUGUCUCCCGGAUUCCAUAAUUAGUUUUUGCUUUCUAAAUUACGGAUGUUUCGUUAAAAAAUUACAACAUUACAUAUUAUGUUCGAUAUAUAUUUAUCAUAAAAAGAUAUUUAAAUCGUUUGAAAUGGUCCUCAUUCGUAUAAUAAAAUCAAACAUCAUAUACUUAAUAAGUUUGCUUUGACUUAGGGUGCAGUUAGCCUUGCAAACAUUUUGGUUAUUAUAUACAGUACAAGAACUAGACUGGUGAUAUACAUUAUUUACAUACCCGGCUGGCUUUCAGAUGCUGCGACCACUGAGACGACGAGAAGAAAUGCAAAGAGACCCAACAGAAACAAAGUCUUGGAAGCCAUUGUAUUCAAAUGCUUAUGUUAUAACACUCUUUUUUAUGAAAACAAGUGAUGAAUAAAAUGUUACACUGAAUGCCCCUAUUUAUAGCAGACGAGGGUGAGAGAGUGAGCAAUGAGCAUCCGUAGUUCAUUAACAACAAGGGAAUAUUUUAUCAGAAGAGAAGCUGAAGAAAUUUAUCACAGUAAGGAAAGUUAUAGUUGGUUGUUGGAUACAUCGUAAAUCAACUUGAUUUUGAACUCCAUAAAUGGCAACCCAUACUAGUCUUUAGAUAUUUCCGUCAACGUCUUAAACACAGCGCAUUCACUCAAAAUGAAAAUGUAUAAAAUUCCAUCAUUUGAUUACAUUAUUGCUAAGAUGUGACAUAGAUAUUCGCGCAGUUUUGCUACUAAAAUUUUCUCUAUUUUAUAUAAUCAACGAUGAAAGAAUAGCUAAACAUUUCAUGGAAAUAGUAAAUUACUGUAACCGUAAUAUAUUUAGGGGUAGGCACUACCAUCAGUGGCGGAUCUACGAUGAAUUUCUAUCCGGAGCCAAACGACAAAACACUAAAAAUACAUUUAUAAAUUCAAAUUUUUAUCCAGAACAUUAUUAAAAUUCUAAACAAAAUUACACCCAAAAAAAUUGGGGGAGGGCGGGGGCAAGUACCCCACCCACUCUUUACCUAGUUCCGGACACAAUUAUUCAUUACUUAAUGGUAUUUAUUUGACCAAAUUGAAUAUCAAAUAAUCUAUUAAAAUUAAAAUUCAACAGUCAACAGUCAAGAUUAGAUAUACAUCAAUAUAUUAAAAUAGAAAACCAAAUUGUCAUUAUUAUCUAUGAUGUAUUAUUCUGUAGUAGUUUAGGAAAUUAGUCUACAUCAUUCACUAUAUAAAUCUAUGCAUCUAUUUUUUUUUCAUUCAUGGGAUUCAACAAUAUUUCUUCCAAUCACUACAAUGGUUUACCUCAAAGAGAAAUCAUAGAUUAUAUAUUAUACAUCCAUACAUGAGUUUCCACAAUAACAUAAAAGUUUUCUCGAUGAUGAACUUGUAGUCUUAUAGUAUAUACUAGUUCACAAGAGCAGAUUAUUCAUUUUUAUGUGACUUAAAGCGAGAUUCAAAUCCACAAUCAACUACAACAAACUAUCUGGAAACCUGGUUCCAAUCAUUCUCAUAGUGACUCUACAACAACAACAACAUCAACAUUAGUUUUGGUUUCUUCUUGAAAUCAUUUUUUGAAUAAUCAGGUAUGUUGUUAUCAUAAUUCUUCAAAAUUGUUUUGAACUACAUUUGUAGUCAACAAAUAUAGAUCUAAGUUUACAAUUAAAUUGUUUUAGACGUUUUUUUGUAAUCAAGAUACAUACUCAAUUAAGAUUGUGAAAACUACAUUGGUAACUCUGCGUCUAUAUGAACGAUCCAUAUGAACGACGAAGGAUGAUUGUUUCCGAGCACUGCGUGCAAGACUAUAUGCAAUUGUUAUGCGUUCGGGGUACAUGUAUGAACUUUGAUUGAUUGAAGCUCUCCUUCAGGAGUUGAAUAUCUUUUGCAAAAGUAGGUCAUUCUGCUCGCUCGGAAACCAUCUUAACCAAUUAAGAGCAAUUUGUCGCAAACGUCACAUAAAACUAUCGUAAAUUCCUUUUACUUUCCAUUGCCAGAUGAAGGCCUCUGUUUCGGCAUGAAUGAGUGAUAAGCUGACUCUCUCGUGUUAUUUGCCCCCAUUAGCCCAUCAAAACCUUCCUUGUGCCAUCCUUGUCCCGAGGAAUUAUCCUGAGCUUUCCACGAUCUAUCUGUAAAAUAUCAUCGUCCCGGUAUUUGUGGUAAUGUUGACAACUCUACAUCCUUAGCUUGGGCGGUCUGUUGCGUAAGUGAUAUAUGUGCCUCAUGCCAUAGUAUAGCUUUCGUUUCUGCCAAUUGAAUAGUGUCUUUAGGAUUAAUAUAUAUGUUACUAAGAAUCUUGUUGUUCCGACCUUUCCAAAUUUAUCAUAGGAUCCAUACAAACUGAUGAUUAUCCAUGUGUAUUUUCUACCUUUCAAAAUAAAUGAUUCAUGUUUGCAAAAAUUGAUUGAGUAGAGAAAAUGAAUGGAUUUGAUAGUAGUCGUGAGAGAUCUUAUGAUUAUCACUCUUUUUACUAUGGACACAAUCUUACCUCGAGUUGGAAUUUUUUAAGUAAUAUAUAAAAAAUAGGUAAUUUACUUAUAAUUAAUUAAUUUUACGUUGAAAGUUCAUCUGAUUUAAUAUGUUACCUGACUUUUAAGAGUAAUGAAUGUUUGUGUUUCAAAAAAAAAAAUCAGAAGCUAUAUAAACUAAAAAAAAACUCGUUGUUCCAUGUCUAUAUUGUAGACCCAUGUUUUUGAUCAAAAAUGAAUGAUUUAUAGUUUAACUGGAUUCUUUGGAAAUUAGUAUUUAUUGUGGUAAAGAAAAAGAUUAGUUUUAGAGUUUAUACUUUAUGGUAUUGUACAAGGUUAAAAACAUAAGUUUGUAAAAAGAAAAUGAAACUGAUUUGGUCUCAUGCUAAAUUGGUCGGUCUUACAGCAAAAGACAAACAACCACUCUAUUUCGAGCUGCGGAUCUCAUCGGAGUUCCCAGCAAUCUCAUCAUCGGUUUGAGAGAAAAACACUGUUCAGUUUUUCUCCGCGAGGGAAGAAGGAUAAUGGCAGUGGUGGAUGUUCACCGGUUCGCAGAGUCAAUAACUUGCCAUGCUUGGAGUCCUGAUCACUCCAGUAAACGUUUUCUACCUCUUCCUCUCUUUGUUUCUUUUACCGAUUGGUCUUUGAGAAGAUGAGGGAAAAGAGUAAUGGGUCUUUAAUAGAUGAACCCCAGUGUCUUCUUGUAUAUUGGUUUAACAUUCUGUGACCAUUUUUUUUUUUUUUUUUGCUUGUAGUGUUUGCAUUUUGCCCAAACAAUAAUGAAGUUCAUAUCUAUAAAUCAUCACAAGACCAUUGGGAGAUGUUACAUGUCCUUGAAAAGGUGAAACCUUUCUGUCUCUUCUCUCAUAGGCAAUUCUUUGUAGUUAUAUUUAUCUUUUAUUUUACUGAUCAUUUGUCACUGGAAAGUUUUUUUUUACUGUGAUCUCCCUUUCAAACAACUUCAUAAUCUUUUUUUUGUUUGCAGCAUGACCAGAUCGUUUCUGGAAUAGAUUGGAGCUCAAAGUCCAACAAAAUCGUCACUGUUUCCCAUGACAGGAACUCGUAAGUUGCAACCUUAAGGAAGUUG